rnacentral:lncRNA from 1 species
AGGAGCAAGCUUCGGGUUAGGAGAACUUGAUCCCGCAGGUACAAGCUUGGAGUAGACACCGACAGGCCGGGCUUCCUCCACUCUACACCUCCACUCUAUCUCUCUCAAUCUAGUAGAAACUAGAAGAUCUAUUUCUACCUUACAUUGAUUGCUAAGCCUAAAAAGAAAUAUUAAUUAGAGAAGAGGUUUUCCUUGGAGGGCACCCCUCAGUCUCUAUGAUAAUUUCUUCAUGUCUUCUCCAGGGGCCAGGGGGCCUUGCUUAUAUAGUCCUCCCCUUCUAUGCGUUUUUGGGUCGAUAGGCGAGGUGGUACUAUGUUUUUCUUGAUCCAAUAGGUUGGUGGAAUAUCCCGAGCGAAAGAGUCCUGAUUUGGCAAAAGGGGGGCGGGCGCCCAGGCUACCAGGGCGGGCACCCUGGGCCUGGCCCAGUUUCGCCUCCGCUUCGGUCUCGUGGCUUCUGGAGUCUUCUAGAUGAUGAAAAAUUACGCGAUGCGUUGAUAUCUCUAUGUAAUCCCGACAUGUGGGCCUUUCUUCCUUAUUUCCUGAUAACCCCUGCAGAAACAAAUAAACGACAAAACUCGUGGAAUUCUGUCAGAUCAAACCCUAAUUCUAGGUGAUGGUUGCAUAUUGGUCCUUUCUCUUGUUUAUUUGAUAAUUAAAAUUGAUACUUAAGAACCGUCAACAGGUAUGUCCAACCAAUCAUUAUGCAACAUUGAAUUACUUUCAUCCAAUCUUGAUUUUUGAAAAAUUCAAGCUUCGGGAUAUACUUCCAGAUAUACAUCUUUUGCCAUGUUGCUAUACUAUCCUAGUUGCCUCUAUCUUUAAGAUAUACUCAAUUUGAUAAAUAAUAAUCAUGCCCUUUAAUUACUCUUUGAGUAAACAUCUAUAAUGCUUUCAUGUUACCUUUGUUUGCUAUAGUAUGCGUAGGCUUUGAAGUAGUUUCAUACAUCUCUUAAAUGAAGCAGGGUGCCUAGUUUAGGAUUGGUGAUCUUACAUUCAAAGGCUUUUUAAAUUAAGCGUGGUGCUUUGGUUAAAAUGCCUUCUUGAAUCAAAUUAGACAUGGUGUCUAGGUUGAUUUUUGAGCUGAUAGUAUGCUAUAGUAGAUAUUGGAUAUUUUGUUGGACUAACCCUGAAGAAAAACUUUUAAUACCAAAAUGGAAAAGUCCUGGGAUGAACUCACGCUAGAGAUGAAGAGAGACACAAUAAUUUUGCACAAGAGAGGCACAACUCACUCUAGAGAUGAAGAGAGACACAAUAAUUUUGCACAAGAGAGGCACAACUCACUCGUAGCUCAGCCUGGGCGUUCGGUUAACCAAAACUGAUCGGUUUGGUACUUCGGUUAUCCAACAAAUUCGGUUCCAAUAGAAACAGGCACUGAUCGGUUUCUUAUGAAACGCGGAACCGAGGAAUUUUGAAACGGUUUCAGGUAAUUCGGUUCGGUUUCAGUUGUAACUGAAGGAACCGAAAAAAUUCAAAAUAUAAUAAACAUCCCAUUCAAUUGUAAAUUUCGACAGCAUUUUACCUGAUCUUCAUGCAGUCAACUGGGGCAAUUUAAAGAAAUGUAGCAUAAAACAACAGCACAACACAUAUAUGUUAUCGUUCUCUCAAAUUCAAAGGAAAACAAGCAAUAGUCGCCUAGCACGGAGAGUCGUGGGCUCGCCGCUCGCGUAGUCACCUGGGAGGCGCUUGGUUGCCAUAGUCGCGUGGCACGAAGAGUCGCGGGCUCGCCGCUCGCGUAGUCGCGGUCGCGGAUGCGCGCUGCCGCCCGUGCGUGGCUCAAGGCAGGCACAGGGUGGCCUCCAGCUCCAGGCCGGGUGGGGGACUGGGGGCGGCGGCUCCUAGAGGCUAGAGUGGAGCUGAGGUGUGGAGGUCUGGACUCUAGACUGGAGGACUAGUGUGCGGUGGUGCCUGUUCUGUUCGAGUGGUGUGGCGGUGGUCUGGUGGGAGUGGGCGGCGGCUGCCGGCUGGUGUCUGGCGGAGGUAACAGGUAAGUGUUUUUGGGCUGGGCUACUUUCUAUUUGGGUUGUGUCAUGGGCUGAAAUAUUUAGUUCCCUCGGUCAACCGAGGCCAGAAACAGAAUUAACCUACUAAAUUCGUUCCUCAAAACCAGGAACCGAACAGGAACCAAUUUCGAUUUUUUUGGUUUCAGUUCUGAUUAUUUCGAUUUAGUUUUCGGUUUUUUUGUGCCCAGGCUGACUCGUAGCCAAGAAGAAAGAAGGGUGCUAUAAAUCAUGAUCCGCAAUCAAAGCACUUUAUGAAGUUGCGUUCUUUUGUGAACCACUAAUUAUUAGGAAUCAAGAAAUGAAAGGUCCAUAAAGUAGAAUUUCUGAGCCUGUGUUGUCAUGCUCUCAAUGACUGUGUUUGAUUUCACAAAAUUUACUUUUUUAAGAUAAUGUCAUUUUAAAGUUGGUAUUUAAGUUUUAUAAUAUUAUUAUUUUAUUAUAUGAUCCAUGUAUUUUUAAUAUAAAAUAUUAGGUAUUUGGUAGCAAUGCCUGGACAUGCUAUCUAAAAAGGCCUUAGAGCCGGGGUUUAUAAAAGAAAAGAAAAAAAAAACGGCUCUAAAGCCCUUAUCCAAUACCUUGCUCCUGAGUCGAACAGGUUCUCAUGCUAUCAUCCACUCCAAUCCUCGUCAGUGCCGUUAUCAACACGCGCGGACCAUGAAAAUGAGCCCCCCGGCUCUCGCCGCCGGCACCACCUCACUGCUGUCGCCUCCCACCGCUGCCGUCUCUGCCCACCCCUUCCCUCCCACGAACCACAAGCCUCACAGCGCCCGCAUCCGCCUCUCCUCCGCCGCCGCGGCUACCUCCAGCUCCAGGUGGGUCAACCCGCGGGCACCCCCGCCCCGGCGCGGCGCGGGCAGGAGCGGGGCUAACCAGCGGCUGCACCACCUCGUCCACCUCGGCGACCUGGACGCCGCGCUCCUCCUUGUGGAGUCCAUGCGGGAUCCCGAGCGACCCGCCGCGGUUCCCUGUACACUCCUCAUCAAGAAGCUUUGCGCAGCGGGCCGCCUCGACGACGCUGAGCGUGUGCUCGGGGCCUCCGAGCGCGCGGGCACCGCCGAUGCCGUCACGCGGAACACCCUCGUCGCGGGGUACUGCCGCGCGGGGGGUCGUCUCGCCGACGCCGAGCGUAUGCUGGCCUCCCUUGCCUUGUCCGGCUCCGCCGAUGUCGUCACCUAUAACACCCUCGUCGCGGGUUACUGCCGCGAGGGCCGCCUCAACGAUGCCCGGCGCCUCGUUGCCGACAUGCCGUUCGCCCCCAACUCGUACACCAAUAGCACCCUGCUCAAGGGCCUGUGCAGCAACAAGGAGUGGGACGAUGCCGAGGAGCUCCUCUCCGAGAUGAUCCGGAGUGGUUGCCCCCCAAAUGAUCUCACGUUCGGUAUGAUAAUCCAUUCGUUAUGCCAAAAUGGAUUGGCUGACCGUGCAAUGGGAGUUCUUGAUCAGAUGUCCAAGUGCAGGUGCACACGGGGCGUGAUUGUUUACAAUGAAAUCAUCAGUUGCCUUGCAGAGCUGGGGCGUGUUGAGGAGGCUCUUCAUUUAUUCGACCAAAUGCCCUGCAAACCUGACAUCUUUAGUUACAACACUGUGAUGAAGGGUUUGUGUAGAGAUGGGCGCUGGGAGGAUGCAGGAACGCUUAUUGCUGGGAUGGUUAGAAAGGAUUGCCCCCCAGAUGAAGUUACAUUCAACACAGUAAUCAGUUACUUGUGCCACAGAGGGUUGGUUGACUGUGCAAUGGAAGUUGUUGAGCAAAUGCCCAAGUAUGGAUGUAAACCUGAUAAUUUCACCUACAGUGCCCUAGUUAAUGCCUUAUCUGAACGUGGCUGUGUGGAUGAUGCUCUUGAGUUACUAAGAACUAUACCAUGGAAACCUAACACUGUUUGCUAUCGAUCCGUACUGAAGGGACUGUGCAGAGCUGAUCGAUGGGAUGAUGUUGGGAAGCUUGUAGCUGAGAUGAUCAGAAACCAGCUGAACCUUGAUGAAGUCACAUUCGGGUUGAUCAUCGACUGUUUGUGCCAAAAAGGGCUAGUUGACUAUGGUGCUGAAGUUUUGAGGGAAAUGACAAAGUUUGGAUGCUCACCUGAUAUUAUCAUAUACAAUUCUCUUAUCAAUGGGUUUUCUGAAAAUGGGAGUGUGGAUGAUGCCCUCGAGCUAUUCAAAAACAUGUCCUGCAAACGAAAUGUUGUUACCUAUAAUUAUAUGUUGAAGGGUUUGUGUAGAGCUGAGCAAUGGGAAGAUGCUGGGAAGCUCGUAGCUGAGAUGGUUAAGGAUGAAUGUCUCCCUAAUGAAGUGACAUUUAGUACCCUAAUCAGCUAUUUGUGCCAAAAAGGUUUUGUUGAGUGUGCAAUUGAAGUUUUUGAGAAAAUGCCGAAGUACAAUUGUAUGCCUAAUGUUAUAAUCUAUAGCACCCUUAUCAAUGGCCUUUCUGAUCAAGAGUGUGUAGAUGAUGCCUUGAAGUUACUAAAUGACAUGCCCUGCAAGCCAGAUACCAUUUGCUAUAGUGCUGCAUUGAAAGGCUUGUGUAGGGCCGAGCGAUGGGAGGAUGCUGGUGAACUGAUACUGGAGAUGAUUAGAAAGAACUGUCUUCCAGAUGAAGUCACAUUCAGUAUACUAAUCAAUAACUUGUGUCACAAAGGGUUUCUUGAGUCUGCAACUGAAGUUUCUGAGCUAAUGCUUAAGUAUGAAUGCAUGCCUAAUGUUUUCAUUUACAGUUCCCUCAUUAAUGGCUUUGCUGAACAAUACCGUGCUGAAGAUGCUCUCCAGUUACUAAGAAACAUGCCAUGUGAGCCUGACACCAUUUGCUACAGCGCUGCACUGAAGGGUUUGUGUAGAGCAAAGCGAUGGGAGGAUGCCAGGGAGCUUAUAGCUGAGAUGUUUAGAAAGCAGUGCCCCCUAGAUGAAGCAACAUUCAGUAUGCUCAUUGGUUCAUUGUGCCAGAAUGGGCUGGUUGACAUGGCAACUGAAGUUUUUGAGCAAAUGUCAGUGUAUGGAUGUAGCCCUAAUAGGAAGAUUCAUAGUUCCCUUGUCAAUGGCUAUUCUGAGCAAAGGCGUGUGGAUGAAGGCCUCAAGUUAUUGAGCAGUAUGCCAUGAAAGCCUACAAUCAAUUCCUGUUGUCUGUGUUGAAGAGCUUUGAGUCCUGAGGAUGGUAAGGAUUCAAAGUAACCAGGCUGGAGUUCAUCAUUGAUUUGAUGAAUUUACAUCUGGUACUCAUUAAUUACUUGUACCAGAAGAAAGUUUGGUUUGAGUUCUUGAGUAUUGGAAUGGAUGAUGUCAUGUGAUCAUAAUUUUUUUUUUGAGAUAGCCUGCAUGGAUGCUUUUUCAAGAAUGAAUUAUGGCAGGUAAUUGAGAUGGGUACUACAUGUGACUUUUUGGCUGUAAUCAAACAAACAAAAGCACCAAUCUUUAGUCAUAAAAGAGGUUCAGCAUUGUAUCAUGGUUUUGGAUGGCAAUAGAAGGACAGUAGCUGAAGCUCUAAAUAACCGGAGAUGGGUGGUAGAUAUCAAAGGAGCACUUACUGUCCAGGUCUUGGAGGUUUAUCUCAAUAUUUGGGAUCUAGUGGAGGUGUGGCCCUGCAGCAGGUGGUACCUGAUCAGUUUAGAUGGAAGUUAACUCAGUCAGGUACCUACAACAGCAAAUCAGCUUAUGCUGCAUUCUUUGGCAGGACCAUCAAAUUUGCACCAUAGAAAAAGAUUUGGAUGAGUAGGGCUCCACUCCGGUGCAAGUUCUUCAUUUGUUUGGCUAUCAAUAAUCGUUGUUGGAUGGUAGACCAUCUUGCUAAAAGAGGCUUGCCCCACUCGGAGGCUGCCCUUUUUUAUGAUAAAGAGGAAGAAACCAUACAGCACAUCUUUGUGGGCUGUGUCUUUACCGGGCAGGUUUUGUUUUAAGUUCUACCUGCUCUGGUGCCCUCAACUUCAGACACCAAAUUUUCAAGUUGGUGGAGGAAAGGUUUUCAGCUUAUUCCAAAGGAAUUGCAAAAGGGGUUCAACUAUUUAGUUAUUCUGGUAGCUUGGGAAACCUAGAAACACAGGAAGAGCAUGCCAGGCCUAGCAUACCGAUCUGCUCCGAGUGAUAGCUGAUGAAUGCGGUUUUUUGGGAUGACAGGAGCUUCAAAACUCCAAGAGCUCCUUGCCUGGUUGCUGUCCUUGGCUGCUUAGAACUGUGGCUAGGUUGGUCAGGGGUUUUGAUGUGGUUUCUUUUAUUGUUUUGUAAGUGUUAGCUACUGGUUGGUGUUGUGUGAGUGGGGGGUUGAGUUUUUGUACUUGGACCGGUUCCUGCUGGCCCUUUGGUUCUUUCUUCUUCUUAAUGAAAUGACACGCAGCUCUCCUGCGUUGUUCGAGAGAACAAAAUAGGGGUUAUGAGCAGUAAUUACUGAAAAAUAGUAAAUAUUCAUCCCCAACUUUCACAAUUGUUGCCAGGACUUGUUGAACUCUAUAGGUAUGUAAAAGUAACUUGUGCUAUAACCUGCAACAAGACCCAUUUAUAUCUGUGUUUUUUUCAUUUUGAAUGACUUAAAUUUUGUUUUUUCAAGGAACUUAAAAUUUUGUAUGUGAUUUAUGGUCAGCUUCAACUUUGUCCCUAGGUUCUCAAAUCUUGCAAUAGUCCAAAUGGAAGUCCUAGAUUUAAUAUAUGUUCAAAUCUAGCUUUGUCUUGUUACUAGUCUAGUCUCUUUCUGCAACCAUUGAUUUAGCUGUUUUUAUUUAUUAUCAUCUCUAUCUCUACUUCUAAAAAGAUCAAAAGGGGGACAUCAACAGUCAAAUCAACAUGCCUCCCACUACCACCUCUCUUACCCCGCCCGCACCCUCCCCCACAUCCACCAGCGCCAGGCCCCUUUUUCAUCAUCGGAUCCAUUCUCUCCUAGUCGAUCACCUUCAAGCUGGUAUCCCAGCAUCUCGAUGGUUUAUUUUUUGACCUACAAAUUGAGUCCAAGAUGGCCACUGGUAAGAUAUUUGUAUAUUUGUGAUAUAUAUGCUCACUUGCAUUUUGUUCCAAGAAGAAUUACUGAGUUAUUUAGUCUCAGUGAACCAAAUUAUGAAAACUCGUCAUAGGAAUCUUGCACGCAGGACAAAUUAGAUGUCAAAUUAGUUAUAACAGUGAAUUGUUAUAUUCAUGCUUAUGCAACUUCAGAUUUUGUAAGUCUGUUGUUCUGCUGAAGUAGUCACCCUUAUAUCAUUUUGGGUAUAUCUUUGUAUCUUGUUUGUGUUCAAAUUACAAAUAUCUCACCUAUCAGGCUUACCUAGAAUAUUUUAAGAAUUGCAAGAACUAAAACAACUCACUUAUUUUGAGAGAUGUACAUGACAAUCUAGAAUAUAGUGGUCCCAAGGAAGCAAGGGGUGGACGGUUGCUUGGGUAAAGGUUUGCAUACCAACUGAACUUGGUGGACUAGGGAUCUCAAACUUAAAAACUCUUGGUUGGGCGUGAAGAAUGAGAUGGUUAUGGCUACCAAAAACAGAGCCAGACCGUCCAUGGGCUCAACUCCCAAUUCAAGUUUCUGAACAGGCAAAAGCCUUCUUUGCAGUGGCUGUUAGUUCAGAAGUCGGAGAUGGUGCGCAUACCCUUUUUGGACUGAUAGAUGGCUGCAUGGUCGGUGUAUAGAAGAGCUGGCUCCUCGUUUAUUUGCUGCCAUCCCCAAAAGAUGGACUAAGCAGCGUACAGUCAAGGAAACUCUCACGAACUGUGCUUGGAUUGCAGAUAUAAAGGGGGCUCUAACUGUUGGUGCAAUAGUGGAUUAUUCGCAUCUAUGGAUAUAGUUUCAGCUACUGUUUUACAGCUAGAAAGGGAGGAUAAACAUAUUUGGAGGCUUUCCUCGGUCAGUAUUUAGCCAAGUCGGCAUAUGAGGGCUUUUUCUUGGGACCUACCCCAUUUGCAGUAUGGGAACUGAUUUGGACUUGGACGCCACCGAAAUGUCGGUUCUUCGUGUGGUUAGUAGCUCACCUACAUUACACCAAUACGUGACCAGGACCUCGUAUCGUAUACUGGAUACGUAUCCGAUAUGGAUACACAUCGGAUACGCUGCCGACCGUCCGUUUUUUCCUAUUUUCGUAUGGAUAUGUGCUCGAUAUGUAUCUACCUCACUGAUACGGCCCAGCUCAACAAGAAGCUCCCUUAUCUCCCUCUACCCCGAUGUCGUAGCCUUCGACGCCCGCACCUCGCGCUGCCUCCAGGUGACACGCGCGAUGAUGCCCUAUCCCUACUCACCAGUCGUUGGCCGCUGGCGACAAGCCUCCGCCUCCGCUCACGGGCGACGAGCCUCCGUCUCCUCUUGUCGGCCGCUAGCGACGAAUUUCCGCCCCUGCGACAUGGAUCCCGCCGUCGGCCGCUGGCGACAAGCCUCUGCCUCCGCUCGCUGGCGAUGAGCCUCCGUCUCCUCUCGCCGGCCGCCAGCCGCCAGCGACGAGUUUCCGCCCCUGCGACAUGGAUCCAGGCUUCAGCGAACUUCCAUGAUUUCAUCCCCUUCCCCAUUCUCAAUCUUCUCUUUUUCUUCGGUUUGUGAUUUAUUGUUGCUUGAUUUCUGUGCUCCCCACUUCCUCUUCCUCUUCCCAUUCUCAAUCUAUUCUAUUUAUGAAGUUCGAGACUGCUUGAUUGCUUGUAUGCAGCAGAUGGUGGUCCGCGUCUCCAAAUACUAGUAGUGCUAAGUGCUAGUCUGCUAGUGCUAGCGUAGGAUCUGCAGCCAUUCUGGACUUGUGGUCUCUGGAGAAGCUUAGAACUGGUGGAGGAGAUACUUUAUUGCGAUAUAAGUAUAUAAGUAGUUAAUUAGAUUGCAACGUUUUAUUGUUAUCAGUUUUAAAUUUUUACUAUGUGUUAUUAUCAGGGAUGAAAACAGUACGGAUAUUUUCCAAAGAUCGAAUUUGUUUAGAGAGUUCAGAUCUGAGUUCGAAUAUUCAACAUCCGAUACCGUAUCCGUAUCCGAAUACUUAAAUUGUAUAUUUAUGAUAUCGACAUCCAAUCAUAUCUUAUCCGACGUAGUUGAAAACCGACCAGAAAUAUAAAAAAAAUAUGAUAUCGGUGAUAUUCGUCCGUAUCCGAUCCGUUUUCAUCCCUAGUAAUUAUCUAUUUUAAAUAUUAAAUAGUAAAACGUAUCCGCGUAUCAUGUUGUUCAGAAAAUUGUCGUAUCCAUGUAUCUGUAUCCUUUCGAUACUGAUACACGUGUCCGUAUACGUGCAACUUAGUAGCUCACAAUAAGUGUUGGACAGUUGACCGCCUUGCUCGCUGGGGGCUGCCCCGCCCUAGUUGCUGUCCACCGUGUGGUCAAGAGGAGGAAACUAUCAAUCAUCUUCUGGUUGCUUGUGUCUUUGUUAGGGAGUUCUGGUUCCAUCUGCUAAGACAGGUCGGUCUCCGGGCCUUAUGUUGACAUCGUUUUUGGAACGGGUCAAGUUAGUUAAGACAGACCGAUUGGUGAUAGAAAGGUCAUUGUAUUGUGGCAAAAGGAUGCCGACGAGGAUCAACAGAUAAAGAUAGUGCCGAUGAUAGGGGAUGAUCGGUAGAAGAUUUCUGCUGAUUCAGGAUCGGUAUAAGGUCAAAAAUAAUAUCUGUUGGUUGUUACUGAUGAAACUUAUCUUUGCCGAUACCGAUGGAGAAGGGCGUGAAGACUGCUGCUGAAAGGGCAUGUAUGUGCCGAUGGGGCAGGAGCCGACGAGGACUUAAGGCAGGAGCCGAUGAAGACUUUAUCGUAAUUAGGACAGACAUAGGAAUAGGUAGUUAUUAUUUCUUUUUCUAUAGUUGUUCGAGUAUGCCCUAUGAGUAAGAGUCUUGUUUACCUUAAUUUAGUCCUAGUCGUAUUUGGUUGUAACUCUUUGGGCUAGGGUAUAAAUAUAAACCCAGCAGCGAUGUAAAAGGAUAGAUCAAUCAAUAUCAAAUACAAGUUUACUCCUACUUUUGCAUUUACUUUUCAACAACUUUGUCAAUUCACAUACUUUUUUCUGUUUACGAGUUCUAAAGGAUUUGGCGAGUUACACUCGACGAUUCUCAGGUUCCGCGUGAGUACGUCUUGGCCGUGACAUUCGGGCGCAUCGCUGUUGUCAGGACCAAAGUAUUCAAGUUAUCACCUUUGUUGAUUAAUAGGUCAAAUCGACUGGCACGCUUACAUAUCGAAAUUGGGUAUUAGCCCUUUGUGUUUGCAGAUCUAGUUUUGCAUCAACACAUCUUUUGGCACGCCCGGUGGGACAAAUCUACGAAAAUCAACAUGGCUACUUCUGAACUUGACACAGACAACGUCAUCGGCGUGACAGAAGCUGAUCUUAGGGAAGAACAGAAGCAAGCCAUGGAGAGGGCUAUAGAGGAAUACAAGCAACUCGCUUGAAAUCUUCCAGCUUGAAUAGGAGUGGGGAAGUUAUAUAGAAGCAAGAUCUGUCGUUGCCUCGGCAGGUUACCUUUGAUCCUAAUCCAGGUAAAUUGCAAGACAUGGUUAAUUCUGCUAUUAAUCAUGCUUUGAUUAUUCACUCCAAUGUGCUAUCCAAUACCGUUUACAAUGAUGUGGUCUAAACUUUUAAAGAAGGACAAACACCACCACUUUAUGCUGGCCCAACCUAUCAACAGCCAGGAUUAUCAUCGGUUGUGGCUCCAUCGGCUCCUUCAGCCGUUGCAGGUACAGAAGUUACUCCUCCUCCAAGUACAACGGGAUUGGCUAAUUAGCAAUUUUACACCGAUGAGAUCUGAUCCAAUGACUUGAGGGGGAUGGGUCCAGCUCAACACAGAUCUAUCGGCAUCGGCUAUGUUAGGAUCUGUAUUUCAGAACUGUCAAGUCCUUCCCAACUUGUGGGGAUAUGGUAUGCCUUUAGAGUUUUUUGCAAAUAAUUCUGGAACAUCUUAGAUAACUGACUUAGCAGGGAAAGCUCCCAUGCCAUCGGUGCCUCCAGUUUCACCGAUGACUCAAGUACCUUAGUAUUCUACGACAACUACUAUGAGGCCAAGUACUGGGAAUUUUCAGGUGCCAACAUUCCAAGUACCUAAUACAAGCUCAUCGGCAAAUUCGUUGCCGACACAACAGAGGUUUAUGUCUCACGCUGGGUAUGUCAAUCCAGCAAUGACAAUUAGCUACCAACCAUCGGCAAGUCUUGUGCCGAUGAAUACAAAUAAUGGUUGGACAGGAUAGCUAUCCUUUCCACACACAGCACAACAGAAUCAUCAAGCUGCAGGGGUUCAACAAGGUCAUAUGCAGGCUGGUUUUCAGAAUUAGGCACCGACCGUUUAGCCAAUGAAUCUUACUCAGCAGAUUGGUGGUCCACAAGCAAUGGCCAAUAUGAUGUUUGCUAGAAAUCGUGUGCCCCAGAGACACGUGGAAGCAUAUCAGCGGGUGCCAGAAGUUCAACCAGUGCAUCGGCAAGAUGCUGAUGCCUAUUGUGCCGAUAAGAUAGUAGAAGUUAUGAGAGAUCAGUUUAGGAUAAAACCUAAAGUUAAUACUUACUCUUAUCAGACACCAUAUCCUCCUGCAUAUGAUUUAAUUCCGCUUCAAAAUCGGUACAAAGUGCCAGAUUUUACUAAGUUCUAUAGACAAGAUGAUACCUCGACAAUGGAGCACGUCAAUCGGUUCAUCAUUCAAUGUGGAGAGGCUACCAACAGAGAUGAGUUAAGGGUUCGUUUAUUUUCAUCAUCCUUGUCGGGAUUGACCUUUGCCUGGUUUAUUUCAUUACCUUCAAAUUCAGUCACUACUUGGGCCGAUCUAGAGAAACAAUUUCAUAAAUAUUUCUUUUCUGGAGUUCAUGAAAAGAAGCUUACCGAUUUAGUGAGACUAAGACAGUGUAAUGAUGAAUCGGUGGAGAGCUUUGUGUAGAGACUGCAAGAUGUGAAGAACAAAUGCUACAGUCUGGUUCUAGAUGAUCGGUAGUUGGCCGAUUUGGCUUUUGAAGAGUUGUUGCCACAUCUCAAAGAUAAAUACGCUUCUCAAGAGUUUGAAAGUUUGAGUCAUUGGUGCAGAGAAUUUCUGAUCAAGACACUAGGACUUUCGAACCUAGAAAGAAUUAGAAUAAAAAGGUAUCAUUUCUCGAUGAGGCAGAAAAUUCUGAUUCUGAUGAGGAACUAGUCAUUGGCUUAGCAGAAUGGGUGAAAAAUAAGAAGCCGAUGUCUUGUCCUUUUGGCCAGCAAGAACCAGAGAAAUUCGCUUUUGAUACCACUAAAGCCGAUAGGAUAUUUGAUUUCUUGCUUCAGGAAGGACAUAUUAAAUUGUCACCUAAUCAUGUGAUCCCAUCGGCAGAAGAAUUGAAGAAAAUCAAAUACUGCAAAUGGCAUAAUGCAACUUCACACGGUACAAAUGAAUGCAAAGUAUUUAGGCUGCAGUUGCAAUCGGCUAUAGAAUAUGAGAGAAUCAAAUUUAAUAAAACUCAGAAGCCAAUGAAAAUUGAUCAACACACUUUUCCCAUGAACAUGUUAGAUGCCAAGGGCAAGACUAAGGUCUUGACGUCAGAAACAGCUGAGAAGAAUGCAUCGGUAGAUCCCCAGCAUCAGGUAACUGCCGAUACGCCAAAGGAAAGGGUUUAUUGAAGGAAAGCACCAGUUCUAGAUGACCUCCCCGAUCUGGCGUUGUGAUCAGUCAUAGACGACAAUAAGAGAAUUGGCAGCAAUGUGAGGAUUGGCAUCGGUGUUAGCAAGAAGAAAGGCUUCGAGAAGAAUGGAAUUAGCAUAAAGAUCAUUGGGAUUGUCCGUUCUUCGUUCACUGUUGGGAGCGAGAUAUCAAAUUGCCGACUGUUGAGGAUUGUCCCGAGUGUAAUGGUUACCGUCUGCACGAUCGGUCAGAUCAGAGAUUCCAGACCAAUAAUUGACGUUUUAAUGAGCCGAUCAGAGGAAGAACAUCAGUUCAUGAUCGGCUAGGGGAUAGGCUUAAUGUGCAUGAAAGGCUUGGUGGACGUGUCGAUUAUUUUCCAAGAAAUCAAGAAGAACUUGAAGAGAUGGUGAACGCACGGGUUCUCGAUGAAUUCAUAUUCUGCAGAGAUUCUAACAUUCACCGUAUGGAGUCAAAGGAAGUUUACUAUCAGCCAGUUUGGAAGACAAAGCUUCCCUGAUGGUGUCUAGAAGGUUUGACAAGAACACAGAGGAGAAGGAUGCAACGGGAACGUUAGGAAGAUUUGUAUAGGGAUGAAGAUUCUUCUAAGUCUGGAAAUCGACAGCAGUCGGACCGCAGGGGGGAAGGUCCAUUGGCAGAUGUCAAUAUGGUAUUUAUGUUGCCUAUGGAAUUUCUUGCACCCUCCAGUGAUGACAAAGAAAUUAGUCUCUCUGAUCAAAUAGCUCAGUUGGCACUUGACCCAAUGAUGGCUGUUUUUGAGAAACUCUUCGAUGAUGAAAGGCAGCAUCUCAAAGCUUUAUUCGUUAAGGGCAGGGUUGACGGGCAGCCAGUUUCUAAAAUACUUAUUGAUGGAGGGGCUGCAAUUAAUAUUAUGGCGUAUGUGAUGUAUCAGAAGCUUGACAAAGGAGAUCAAGAUUUAACCAAGACCGAUAUGAUGCUGAAAGAUUUUGAGGGUAAUGUGUCUCCAGCUAAAGGAGUCGUAUGUGUUGAAUUGACUAUCGGCAGCAAGACCUUACCGACGACUUUCUUUGUCAUCAAUAGAAAGAGUGCAUACAAUCUACUGUUGAGGAGAGAUUGGAUUCAUGCCAACUGUUGUGUCCCUUCUACGAUGCAUCAGUGCCUUGUUCAAUGGGUUGGUGAUAAAAUUGAAGUUGUCUCUAGAGAUUCUUCCUACAUCAUUGCAUCGGCAGAAUCAGAUACUUAUGAACGAACCAUGUGCAUAUCAGGAGAAGCCUGGGAAAAAAUUUCCUCAAAGUUGCCGAUUAUGAAAUUCCACCGAUCAGAGCACUCGGUUCUGAUGAAGAGUUUUAAUGGACAGGUUCGCCGAUGAUGGAAAGUUGGGACAAGGGUUCACAUCGGCCGAUGAUUUAGUAGAAGUAGACAUAGGUAGUGGUGAUAGGCCGAGGCCUACUUUUAUUAGUUCUAAGUUAGAUUCCGAGUGUAAGCAACAAUUAACUGAUUUGCUAAACGAAUAUAAAGAUUGUUUUGCUUGGGAUUAUACCGAGAUGCCUGGAUUAGACCGAUCAAUUGUUGAACAUCGGUUACCUAUUAAAUCUGGAUUUCGACCACAUCAGCAGCCGGCGCAUCGAUGUAACCCUAAUAUCCUUCCCAAUAUUAAGGCUAAAAUAACCAAAUUAAUUGAAGCUAAGUUUAUUCGGCAAUGUCGGUAUGCGGAGUGGAUUUCAAAUGUUGUUCCUGUCUACAAGAAAAUGGAAAACUUCACGUAUGCAUUGAUUUUAGGUAUCUUAACAAAGCUACACUAAUGGAUGGUUACCCAAUGCCAGUUGCCGAUUUGCUAGUCGAUGCUGCAGCUGGGCAUUGGAUUAUAAGCUUCAUGGAUGGUAAUGCAUGAUACAAUCAAAUAUUCAUGGCUGAAGAGGAUAUUUCCAAGACUGCGUUUAGAUGUCCUGGUCAUGUUGGAUUGUUUGAGUGGAUAGUUAUGACUUUUGGUUUGAAAAAUGUCGGUGCAGCUUAUCAAAGGGCUAUGAAUUUUAUUUUUUCAUGAGUGCAUCGGUACAUUGGUGGAGAUCUACAUUGAUGAUGUAGUGGUUAAAUGUGGAGAUUUUGUAAAACAUCUAGCUGAUCUACAGAAAAUACUCGAGUGCACAAGGAAGCAUGGUUUGAAGAUGAAUCCUAAUAAGUGUGCAUUUGGUGUAUCAGCAGGAUAGUUCUUGGGUUUCAUGGUGCAUCAGAGGGGGAUUGAAAUUAGUAGGAGAUCCAUUGAUAUAAUCAACAAGGUAGUUGCUCCUGCCGAUAAAACUGAGCUUCAGUCCUUGAUCGGCAAGAUUAAUUUCAUCAGGAGGUUCAUAUCCAACCUAUCGGGCAAGAUCAAGGCUUUCAGUCCUUUACUCAAAUUAAAAAGCUGACCAAGAAUUUGUGUGGGGAAUUGAACAACAGUUGGCCCUAGAUGAAAUUAAUAAUUAUUUGAUAAAUCCUCCGGUAUUGGUUCCACCUCAACACGGGAAACCCUUUAGAUUAUAUUUGUCAACCGAUGACAUUGUUAUCGGUCCAGCCCUUAUUCAAGAAUUUGAAGGGAAGGAGCGUGUAAUUUAUUAUUUAAGUAGGAGAUUGGUGGAUGCUGAGACAAGAUAUUCGGCUAUUGAAAAAUUAUGCCUAUGUUUGUACUUUUCUUGUAUUAAAUUAAGGCAUUAUUUGUUGUCAGCCGAAUGCACUGUCGUAUGCAAGGAUGAUGUAGUCAAAUACAUGUUGUCGAUGCUGAUUUUGAGUGGUAUAAUCGGUAAAUGGAUACUAGCAUUGUCAGAAUUUGAUUUACGUUAUGAAUCGGCUAAGGCAGUCAAGGGGCAGGUUAUGGCCGAUCUGGUCACCUAACAUUGCAGUUCAGUGGGUUCUUUGGAGGUUGCUCCUUGGACGCUUUUCUUUGAUGGGUCUACAUGUGAUCAAGGAGCAGGUAUCGACAUAGUAUUAAUUUCUCCCCGAGGGAAAAGGUAUGAAUUUUCAUUGCCGAUUGUUGCUACAUCGACAAACAAUCAGGCUGAGUACCAAGCUCUGGUGAAAGGAUUGGAGCUACUGAGAGAAAUUCGUGCCGAUGUUGUUGAAAUCUUCGGUGAUUCUAUGCUUGUUAUAAAUCAGUUGGUUGGAGUUUAUGAAUGCCGAAGCGAAGUUUUAAUUUAAUAUUGUGAGAGAUGUUUGCAAUUGUUGAAGGAGUUUAAGGAUUUCCGUCUGGAACAUAUUCCCCGAUUACAUAAUGAAGAUGCCAAUCGGUUAGCUCAACACGCUUCGGGAUAUCAGCCUAUCCUGGAGGUGUUUUCAUCGUUAAUCGAUGCCGAUGAUUGGAGAAUAGAAAUCAUUGAUUACUUAAAAGACCCAUCUAAGAAAGUUGAGAGACAUGUUAGAUUUCAAGCCACCAAGUAUGUACUCCUCGAUGAUGGGCUAUAUUAUUAUACUGUGGAUGGAGUGUUACUCAGAUGUCUUGGUGACAAUGAAUCAAAAAGUUUGAUGGGUGAAAUUCAUGAGGGGGUUGUGGAGCACACCAAUCGGCUUUUAAAAUGAAAUGGAUGAUUAGAAGAAAUAGAUAUUAUUAGCCGACUAUUCUUGAAGAUUGUUUCAAAUAUUUCAAAGGGUGUCAAAAGUUUGGCAAUAUUCAAAGAGUGCCCGCAUCGGCCAUGAAUCCUAUUAUUAAACCUUGGCUGUUCCGGGGAUGGGCUAUUGAUCUCAUCGGUCAGAUUUAUCCGCCAUCAAGCAAAGGACAUAAGUUUAUUCUCGUUGCCACUGAUUAUUUUACUAAAUGGGUUGAAGCUAUUCCUUUGAAAAAGGUGACGUCGGCCAACAUGAUUGAUUUUGUAAAGGAGCAUAUUGUCUACCGAUUUGGUAUUCCUCAGACGAUUACUAUCGAUCAGGGUACUAUGUUUAUAUCGAGGGAGUUUGAUGAAUUUGCAAUCGGUAUGGGCAUUAAAGUUUUAAAUUCUUCUCCUUAUUAUGCUCAAGCUAAUGGGCAGGUUGAAGCUUCUAACAAAGGGAUCAUUAAACUCAUCAAGCGUAAGAUUGAAGAAAACUCUAGACGAUGGCAUACGGUUUUAAUAUGAAGCCCUAUGGUCGUAUUGGAUGGCGUGUCAUGGCGCAACUAAAGUAUCGCCUUAUUAGUUAGUGUACAGACAUGAUGCGGUAUUACCUUGGGAAAUUAAAACUGGCUCUAGGCGGAUAUUCUCUCAGGACCAAUUAACUGCCGAUGAUUAUAUUAUACUGAUGAAAUAUGAAAUUGGAGGAUUUGGCAGGGCAUUGGUUGAAAGCUUUGGUUAACAUUGAAGAAAAUAAGAAGAGAGUAGCUAGAUGGUAUGAUAAAAGGGUAAAAGCUAAGGAGUUUACCGAUGGAGAUUUAGUUUGGAAAUUAAUUCUCCUAAUUGGGACUAAAAGUUUGAAAUUUAGAAAAUGGUCUCUUAAUUGGGAAGGUCCCUAUCAGAUAAAUCGAUCUGCUCCUAGCAAUGCGUACAUCCUAGAGACUCUCGAAAGAGUUGAAUUUCCCAGAGCAUUAAAUGUAAAGUAUUUAACAAGGUACUACCCUAGUAUCUGGGUCCAUGCAUAAAAAGUUUUAGUGCCGAUAACAAUCCUAUUGGCUGGACAAAAUACAAGUGUUUGUAAAAGAGUUGGUGUGACAUAUUGUCGAUGAAGAAGUUUACAAAUUCAGUAGAGUUUGGAUAGCUGAUAUCGCACGCAGACAAAUUUGGUUGGCUUCCUCUAUUUCUCGGUUGUCUUCAUCGGCCGAGCUUUCUACUGGCUUGAGUUUCUUCUUCAUCUGCAGGGCCUUACAGGCUUGAGAAUCCCUUUCUUGCUAAAGAUCCUUGAGCAUAUCGGGCAGUUGGCUUUCUUCUUGCUUGGCUUAGGUCAGCGCCUCUUCAACCUAUUUGAGCUCAGCAAGCAGAGCUACUCUUUUUGCCAAUAGGUCAGAGAUCUUUUGUUUCAGUUCAGCGCCUGAAGAUUGCAAAGUGCUGAUGCUCUUGUGCUUCUCAUCAGCAGCGUGCUUUACCUGUAACAUUUCCUCUUUGACUUAGGCAUGAGCAACUCUAUCGGCAAGGCGUUGAAUGGCUUUUUGGUACUGAAGCUGGCGGCUCUCUAGAUGGGCAACUUGGAAGAGCACUUCUUCAACAUCGGCAGGAAUCUGGCCACGAAGAGUCUUGAAGAUAGCUUUGGUAGGGUCAGAAUCAUCCACCAGUUGAGCUGUGUCUUGCUGCAGUAAACCCAACAGAUCUUCCAACUUAUAUUUGAUUUCCGCUGAUGCAAUUCCAAGUGCUAGAGAGGAACUCACCUCUUCCCCUUCAUCAUCCGAGAUGUCGAUGGCAAAAGAAAAUAGACUAUCAGGGGAGUCUUGUUCCUAAAAUAGAGAGGAAAACAAGUUGGUCAAUAUUGAGUAUGAAUAAUGCAAAAUCGAACAGAUCAGAUGGCUUACUUGUUUUAGAGCGAUCUCCUGCCUUUGGCUUGGAGAUGUGACUUGGAUCGUGUCUUGAUCGGCUGGAUCUGCCGAUGGGAUGUCUUCGGCUACAAAAUUGUUAAGUACUAAGAAUUAUGAUUUCUUUAUGAGGUUCAUCGGUAAUGAUCCGAUGGAUGAUUAGCACUUUACCUUGAGAAGAAGCGAUAGUUGUUUUCUUAGGAUCGACGACCGAUGACGUGCCUUGGUCAGACGGAUCAAUUGUCUGUUCAGGUGCAUCGGCCGGUUCAGCUUGAUCUUGGGGUGCUGGAUGAGGUGGAAAAGACGGUGCUGCUUUCUGCCGUUUCGGCUGAGACUUGGUGCUUGUUGGAGCUUUCCUCUUGGGUUGAGCUUUACUGGCUGUUGGCUAGGGGGCAUUGGCACCCGAUGAUUGAACAUCUUAGGCCCUUGCCGAUGCACUGGUUUGCUGCUACAAGACGCACAAAAGUUUUGUGAAUUGGGUAUAAAGGCAGGAAAAUACUUAUAAAAUUCAUUAAGAAUAAAAUAUUUAGUGCAGAGCGAAGUUACAGAUGACGUUCCAGUUAUGGUCGAUAUAUAUACCCUGAAACAAAAGUGUAAGUGUAGGCUGGAAUUGGUAUAAUGAGGAAAAUUAAGGGUUUUUACCUUAAAAGCUUGCGCUAGGGUGGCAGCGGCGACCGAUGGAGUAGCCUUUGAGCGCUUGGUGGUCAUUUUCUUGAAACGAGCUCCUCGGUGCAUCAGAGCUGCUAGACUGGGGCAUCGUAGCCGAUCAAGGAGACCGGGGAUACCAGUUGAAGGUCAAAUAGCUGCCUACUUUUGCUCACCGAUGGUGCGGGAUCAUCAACCUGUUAAAAUAAAAGAGUGAGUUGCCGAUAAAGUUGGAAGUAAAGAAAGGAUUGAGUGUUGGGAGGAGACUUACUAUGUCAUCGAGGAUUUCAUGUUCAGGAUUGAUCAUAUUCUAAUAUACAUGAGCCGAUGUUGUGAACAAUUGGCCCUUCCAUUCUUGCCACCAUGACUUGUAGGAUUCAGUGAUGAAGGAGGCUGGUACCCAGGUUGACAAAUCAAUAUCUAUAGUACCAGCGUCUGGCGGGUACUGAGCUACUCUGAUCCUGUCAAGGCCGCUGGUGAUUGUCUCUCUUGGCUUCAUCACAACGGCAUAGCAGAGUUUGAUUGGCAGUUGACCGAAAGCCAAUUGGCGGGCUAUUGCUGAUGGAUUGUAGAACUCAUAAGUGGCGUUGGUGUUCUUCCCACUACCAAAAGUGUUCACUGGGAUCACCUUUGGGGGUAAUGAUGGCCAUCAUUAAGUCAUUGUCCUUAUUGAGUGCUUCAUCAGCAGGGUGGAAGAGAAGAGGGAAUCUGAAUUCCUCAUCGACAUAAGGCAUCCAAGCCUGUUGCUCCCGAGAAAGGCCGUUGUAAAAGGUCUAGAAAAAUCUACCGAUUUGAUUCUCAUUUGCUUCGGUCCCAGGAAGAACUAUGAUUGCUUCACCAAAGUUCAGAGGCGAACAAGUUGCCAAUUCAUCCUCUGCUAACUCAUGGUCUUCGGCAAUGUCUUGUUUGAAAUUGCUAGGUGAAGAAAUUCCAUUGCAGACGUUUGUGCAUAUGGGCAUUCAGCCACAUAUUAAUGAACCACCAGGGGCCUCCCAAGUUGCCGAUGGGUUUGCCUAGCAGAAGUUUCUCAGUUACUUGAUGGAGAAGAUGGUAGGUAGAACUCAGAAGGUAUCGACCAAGGGGGAAUUGGGAACCAUUGGCCAAUUGCUCGGCAGUUGCGAGGUAAACACAAGUCGGCCCUACCGAUCGGCCGCAAAAGAUGAAUUUAUCCAGCCACAUGUUCAAGAAGAUGGCAUGCUCUCUCUGGCCGACCGAUCCGGUUUGCUGAUACUUUUGGAUAUAUCCUGUCCAACCGCCGAUGUUACGGGUGUCUACUUUAUAAUCAGACUUCCUGUUGAAAAGCCUACCAUCAUCGGUAGUUGAAAUGUCUAGGUCUGUAAGCAUGAGUACAUCGGCAAGGGUAGGAGAAGCUGGGCUAUGACCGAACAUGAAAGCAUUGAAAGUAUCUGACCAGAAGUACGCAGCUGCUAUCAUCAUCGACUCAUUUUUCUCCAUAUCGGCAAUGGAGAGUCUAAUGCAUUGGUCCAGUUUGCGUUCUGCCCAUUAUACCUCAUUGGCCCCACUAACCCUCAGAAACCAGUUUUCCAUCCCUUAGUGAAUUGUGGCCAGAAUCGCAAGGUGUCUUUCCAUAGAUCUAAGGAAAAAUUCUCAGCUUUAAAUGGGUUUCUGUUGGUUUCUGCGUUAGGCACUAGAUGUGAUGUUGUUCGGUUGGAAUAACAAUUUUGUCGCUCAGUUCCUAAGUUUGGGGAAUCAAAAAGGGCAGAAGAAAAGAAAAAAUACUGAGUAUAUGAACUUGCAGGAAUAGUAGGAGUUGCAGUAAGAAAAAGAAAGGGUAAACGCAAGAUUAACCUCAGGGACAUUGAAGUUGAUUGUCAUUUCUCCUAGAAGAGAAGAAGAUGAAGCCGAGGGCUUGAGGGCUCUAUCGAGGGAACUUCUUGUUGGUUGGAGACGAGUUCUUGCUUGAUGAGAUCGCCGUCGGAGGAGUAGGUCUUGGAGAUGGAGGAAUGGCAAGGUAGAAGAUGAGUACCGAGAAAGGAUGUAUUUAUAGGUUGGAAAGAUUAAGGGCAUUUUUGACUUAUCUCUCUGCCGCAUCCGUGAAAUUCGAGGUUGUUCAGAUGGAUAUGGUAACUGUUCGUACGACAAUGAAGGGAUUGUGUAGGUGAUUUGAUGGCAAGUAAUCAUGAUCUUGAGGAUAUUUCACUGUGCGCAAUAUUUUAAUGAACCAUCGGCAGCAUAUCUUGACAUCAAAUCUUUGCUGAUGAGCGGUUUUCCCUAUGAUUUGGCGUUGAUCGGAGUACGGGUGGUUGAGAGAUGUAUGGUGUUUACUGAGAUGCGAAAAUCAAGGCUGGGUUUGUCUAGAUUUGGUAACAUAUCUUUGUUGAAAAAGAAGAUAAUUAUGCAAAGACAGUCAUUAUCUGGAGGAAAUUUUGGAGCAUUAAUGAUUUUAUACUCUGAAAGGGCAUGUGUUGACAUCGUUUUUGGAACGGGUUAAGUUAGUUAAGACAGACCGAUUGGUGAUAGAAAGGUUAUUGUAUUGUGGCAAAAGGAUGCCGAUGAGGAUCAAUAGAUAAAGAUAGUACCGAUGAUAGGGGAUGAUCGGUAGAAGAUUUCUGCUGAUUCAGGAUCGGUAUAAGGUCAAAAAUAAUAUCUGCUGAUUGUUACCGAUGAAACUUAUGGUUGCCGAUACCGAUGGAGAAGGGCGUGAAGACUGCUGCUGAAAGGGCGUGUAUGUGCCGAUGGGGCAGGAGCCAAUGAGGACUUAAGGCAGGAGCCGAUGAAGACUUUAUCGUAAUUAGGGCAGACAUAGGAAUAGGUAGUUAUUGUUUCUUUUACUAUAAUUGUUCGAGUAUGCCCUGUAAGAGUCUUGUUUACCUUAAUUUAGUCCUAGUCGUAUUUGUUUGUAACUCUUUGGGCUAGGGUAUAAAUAUAAACCCAGCAGUGAUGUAAAAAGAUAGAUCAAUCAAUAUCAAACACAAGUUUACACCUACUUUUGCAUCUACUUUUCGACGACUUUGUCAAUUCGCAUACUUUUUUUCUGUUUACGAGUUCUCAAGGGUUCGGCGAGUUACACUCGACGAUUCUCGGGUUCCGCGUGAGUACCUCUUAGCCGUGGCAUCCGGGCACAUCGCUGUUGUCGGGACCAAUGUAUUCAAGUUAUCACCUUUGUCAAUUAAUAGGUCAAAUCGACUGGCACGUUUAGAUAUCAAAAUUGAGUUUUAGCCCUUUGUGUUUGCAGAUCUAUUUUUGCAUGAACACCUUAUCUCCGCAACUUGUUGAAAACUCCUUUCUCAACUGUUGGGACAAAGCUAAUGGUGCUACUUCUGAGUUUCCUAAUCAUGCUAGGGGCUUGGAUCCUUUGGAACCAUCACAAUCGUUGUGUUUUUGAUGGAGUGGCUCCAAGUAUUGCUGGAGCCUUAGUCAUAGCUGGAGAGGAACGCCGACUGUGGACCUUGGCUGGGGCUUGAGGACUAUCCCUUUUGUCCGUUCGCCUCAGUGGCGGAUCUAGGAUUCUAAUCAUGGGGGUACGAACGAAAAUGAUAUAGUUCAUCGAUAUGAACGUAACAUAACUAGAUCACUAAACGGUGAUAAAAUAGUUGUGAAUAUAGGGUGUUAAGGUUGUUAUAUAAGCUGAGUAGACUAGCAAUUAUGUAUAACAAUGUAUUAUACAUGUAUAUAUUAUUAAAGAGUAUACAUAUUAGAUGUUUUUCAAAAAAAUUUGGGGGGACAGCUGUCCCCCCAUGCUACUACUCUAGAACCGCCCGUGGUUCGCCUCCGAGGAGAUUAGUUGCUUAGGCCAGAUUGGGUCGCUUUGUCAACCGGCUUAAAGUAUCUCCAACAGUUUUGCAUAUUGCUUUUGCAUUCUUAAUUUUUGCCAAAAUUCACAAAACACCUCUCCAACAGUUUUGCAUAUUGGUUUUGCAUUUUUGGAAACUUGGCAAAUUCCAGGGGAGGCUUGGCAUUUAUGCAAGUCCAUUCGCGACUUGGCAAAAAACACUGAUCUGCCGUGACUCCCGCGCGCGACCGCGACUCCCACGCACGAUCGGAAAACACUGAUCACGGUAGCAGCAAGAUGGAUCAGCAAUUGUGGCUCAGCGGCCAUCGGCCAGCGGCGAUCGUAGACUACUUGGCAAUCUCCAGGAAAACUUGCACUACUUGCCGAUCUCCAGGCACUUCUUCCAGCGACCGACCGUGGACUUGCCUCCAGAGAGCAGCUACCGAGCCACGGGAUGAAGCAACUGGCGGUGGACCUCCUCAACACGAGUGGCGGCGGACUUCCUGAAUGCGCGACCGAGACCGCGCGCGUGCUGAAAACUUUUGUCGGUUGGGUCCACAUUUUGGUAAAUGGCAAGUCAGCUUUACAAAACUCUUGGAGAUGUCUUGUUUUUCUCCUUCCCAUUUGCUUUUCAAAGUUAGCAAACUCCAACAAAUGGCAAAGAAAAAAAUGCCAAACUAUUGGAGAUGCUCUUAGGAGAGCAAAAUGUCUGUUGUGAUGUGCUGUUUGUGUGAGUGCGUUGAGUUGGGAUGAGUGUUGAGUGUGUUGGGUUCUUACACCCAUUUUCUUCUCAAUAUAAUGACGCGCUACGUUUUUCAGAAAAGAAAAACAAUCUAGAAUGCACUCUUUUUUAGCUACUAGAUUUUUCUUACCACAUGGUUUGCUCAGGCUGUUUUGUAAACAGCCCUUUUGAGAAGUCGCUAAGAAGACAAUUGUCAAACCAACUAAAUUAUCUGAAGGCUCACUGGCAAAUGCUCAUCCAUAGCAGUAUGGUUAUGAAACGAUUUCCAACCUUAAGCCCAGAAGUAGAGUCUAUGAUAUAUUUUUUUGCCAUGUAUUCCAAGAUUUUAGUGGCAUACUUCUAAGCCCUGAUCAAACAGUAAUGUGUGCUUACUGAUUUUUCAACUCAAGCUUACUGAAUUGUAGAGAUAGCACAACAUGCAGCCCUUGCUUCCAUAGCAGUUUGUUUGUGAUUGUACGGGUCUUUCACUAUGCCAAAAGAGCACAAAGGAGACACCUCAACUAGUGACUCCAAACUAAAACGCGUCACUAAUAAGUAUAAUAGUGACACGGAUGAACAAAACACGUCACUGAUUAGUUGUUACUCAUGCCUUAGGAACAAGACGCGUCACUAAUGACAAGAUACCGGUGACUCAUCCCAAGAAAACGAGUCACUGAUAAUUGAAGUGACGCGUCUUAGCUAGGCGCGUCACUUUUAUAUAUACAUACUAGUGACGCUUCCCAAGAAUAUGCGUCACUAUUAAUAGCAGUGACACAUUUUACGUAGACACGUCACAAAUAUAGAGAGAUAGUAGUGACUCUUCCCAACAAAACGCGUCACUCCUAUCAAGAGUGACACAUAUUGUCUAGACGCGUCACUCUUAUUUUUAAUAUCAGUGACUCUUCUUGUUGAGCCGCGUCACUGAUCACUUGGCCGGAAAUCUCCCUUUGUUUAACCAGAUGAAUUGUCGUGUUGCUGUGGCUAUCCUCCAGUCGAGCCGCCACCAGAGAAGGUACAGGUCGCUGGCUGUCCUCCAGUCGAGCCGUACCCCUCUUUGAUCUGCCCCUUCGUGCCAUCGCCUGCAGCAACCAGUAGAUGAGGAGGGACGCCACCGGGGUCAGGGGCUAGAGCCCACCGCACAGCCGCUCCGGCCGCCACAGGUCGCUGGCAUGCACCGCCUCUUCGUUCCCAUGGCCAGCCUCGAGCACAGGUUACAUCACCAUUGCUCGUCUAAUCUGCUGCCUUGCUCUCCCCCAAAAUCAAUCUGUUCAUUUCUAGCCCAAUCUGCUCCAUGGUGGCUCCAAUUAGUGUCUAAAAUUUAGUCUUUUUGGACCUUUUUGUUGGGAUGGAUUAGACAUGAUGUGGUGAGGCACUGGUUAAAUUUAAACAAGUUUUGGUUUCUUUGCAAAAUAGGCAGUAGGUGUGCUCUCUGUUCAUGGAAAUUUCAUUUUACUGAUUUUUCUGGGUUUGUCAUUUUAAAACAGAGGGUUUGCAUUGCUCCAUUAUUUCGCCUCAAAAUUGUACCCCAGCAUAUUUAAUACUACUAUGAACUAUAUAAUGAAAAACUGAUUGAAUUGCUGCUGUGGUUCUGCAAACUAAAUUUAGAGACUACCUAUGCACACAUGUUACAAUGGUUUGAUUAACUGAAGCUAAUUAAGUUGACAUCCUAUUGCUUGGGCUUGGCUGCAGGAGUUGUACAUUACACUUGGUGAGGUUCAGGGAACAUAAAUAAAGGUAUGCUUAGGGACAAUUCUCUUAUAAUUUGAUAUGUAGGUGAUAUGCAUAAUUUACUGAAUAUCUAUAGCACUAUAAGAACCUAUAUCUAUAACUAGCUCACAGUUCUCUCUUUUUUCCUUGCAGCACUGAUAUGUAUGAUUUAUUGGAUUUCUUGCUGAGGUUUAGGGAAUAGGCACUCCAGAGCUAAAAUAUUGGCGCACUUGAGCUUGGUGACGAUCUCGGUAAGCUCAUUACCCAAAGUAUAGCACUUCCAUUGCCCAUAUAUAGCUCUUUCUUUCUAACUCUUGUAUAUCUUAAAUUUCAGCACUUGAGUACCCUGUUCUAGCUAGUCAUUGUCUUCUUUGGUUCUUAGUAUUGUUGUCAAGUUUAGUUGAGUUCAAUUUUAGGGUCUGACUAGAUUCACAUAGUCUAGCUAAGGUCUAAUUUUGGUGCAACUUGUCUGUCAUAGAUCAUCGGCUAGUCAUCAUUUCCUUUGGAGUGUCACUUUGAUGCAAUAGUAAAUUUACUAUUCAAGUAAUCGUAGGCUUUUCAUGGAAGGAUUAGUUCAUUUUAUUUAAUUUCAUACUUUUGUAGAUAUGGAGGAUCGGAGCUGGAUGUCUCUUCAAAAUCGUACAUGUCCUAAGUAUUUAGAUGGGCUGAAAUCAUUCAUAAGCGUUGCAGAGGUGGAUAUGCUGAAUCAACACAAGACAGCUAUGUGGUGUCCAUGUAUUGAUUGUGAAAAUGAAAAGCAGUACUCAAGUUCACUAUCAGUCUAUGGCCACCUGGUCAUGCGAGGAUUCAUGCAAGAUUACAGAUAUUGGAACAAGCAUGGAGAAGAAGGAGUUAAUGAUCGAGUCUUGCAAGCUGGUUGUAUGGACCAGGGAUUCUCUUCUAACCCUGGUCAGGAUGAUGGAACUCAUGCUGCUAGUCAGGACAAUGAGGAAGGACCCUCUUGCAGCCCUGAUCUUAGUGAUGAUGAGAUAGCAGAUAUUAGUGCCAAUUAUGUCCAAAUUGCAGAGAAUGUUGAGGAGAUGGUGCGUGAUGCCAUGGGGUUUGAUGAGUUUACUGAGGCAGAGUUGAAGAAGUUGAAAAGGCUGGUGGCAGAUAUGAAGAUGCCGCUCUAUCUCAGUUGCAAGGCUAACUAUACAAAGUUGUUUGUUACUCUCAAGCUUCUCCAGUUGAAGGCGACACAUCAUUGGACUGAUCGGAGCUUUGAUGAAUUGCUAGAUCUAUUAGGGGACAUACUGCCUGAGAGGAAUGAGUUACCCAAGACCACAUAUGAGGCCAAGCAGAUUGUUUGCCCUAUGGGAUUGGAGGUUGAGAAAAUCCAUGCUUGUAAGAAUGACUGCAUCCUCUUCCGUGGCGAUAAUGCUGAUCUAACUGAAUGCCCUGAGUGUGGGACCUCUCGAUACAAACGAAGAAAUGAUGGGGGUGAUGAUGACAAGAGACAUGGAGCUCCUCGGAAGGUGGCAUGGUACUUUCCUAUAAUUCCCCGUCUAAAGCGUUUGUUUGCAACUGCUAAGGACGCACAAUUGUUGAGCUGGCACAAGGAGGGACGCAAGAUUGAUGAUUACCUACGGCAUCCAGCAGAUGCUAUUCAGUGGCGCAUCAUCGAUUCUAAGUAUGGAUCAUUUAAAGAUGAGCCAAGGAACAUUCGCUUUGCACAGAGCACAGAUGGCAUGAACCCAUUCGGAAACAUGAGUAGCUCACAUAGUGUCUGGCCAGUGUUGUUGUCUAUAUACAACAUUCCACCGUGGUUGUGUAACAAGAGGAAAUACAUGAUGAUGCCACUUUUGAUCUCAGGUCCGCUUCAGCCAGGGAAUGACAUCGAUGUGUAUCUAAGGCCGGUUGUCGAUGAGCUCAAGAUGCUUUGGUCAGACGGUGUUAAGGUAUAUGAUGGGUUCAAGCGAGAGUCAUUCAAGGUGCAUGCCAUGGUCUUAAGCACCAUCACUGAUGUUCCAGGACACCGUUGCUUAUCUGGGCAGUCUAAAGGGGAUAAAGAUUGCUUUCAAUGCUUAGAUGACACUAGAGAUGGCAACGGGUACGUACCCGACGGGUAGUGGCCACCCGUACCCGCACCCGCGAAUUCUAAAUUUUACCCGUCGGGUUACCCGUACCCGCACACAGGUAGGAAAAUAAUUCCAUACCCGCACCCGCGGGUAAUUUCUACCCGACGGGUAACCCGCACCCGCUAGUAUACCCGAGAAUUACAUAUAAAUAUCAUAUAUUUACACAAAGAAAAUCAUACUAAACCUCCAACAAGUUACAAACUAAUAUUCAUAUUACAACAUCAAAUUCAUAUACAUAUAUAUUAGUAGAGUUUAGUUGGAUUUGGACCAAAUUCAUGUGCUAUAUAGGCUAAAAUGAGAAGGGUGGCUAGUUAUUUUGACGGGUAUUUUUUAUCCACGGGUAGGCGGGUAUGGGUAGUACACACCCACACCCGUACCCGCCAUACCGAUGGGUAUAACAUUUUGCCCAAUAACGUACCCACGGGUAGAAAAUUCAUUCCAUACCCGUCUCUUUAUCGGGUAAAACCCGUCGGGUACUCGGGCUUCGGGUACCCGUUGCCAUGUUGAGAUGACACUGCGUCUCUUUGGCUGAACAAUUCAAAGAAGAGGGUGUACAUUAGGCAUCAUCGUUUCCUUCCUCGAACCCAUCCUUACCGGCGCAUGAAAUGCCAGUUUGAUGGCACGAUUGAGAUAGGAUCUGCUCCAAGGCAUUUCACUGGGCGUGAUGUUUAUGACCAGGUAAAGGAUGUCAAUGUCACAUUAGGGAAGAACAAAAAGAGUGCCCUUGGAAAGAGAAAGCGCAAGGAAGAAGUUGCCAAUAAGAGGUGGAAGAAGAUGUGAAUUCUAUGGGAACUACCAUAUUGGAAAGACUUAGCAGUUCGCCACAGCAUCGAUGUGAUGCAUGUGAAAAAGAAUGUUUGUGGGAGCUUACUCGGAACACUCUUGAACAGCAAGGGGAAAAGCAAGGACCAUGCAAAUGCACGAGCAGAUAUGGAAGAUUUGGACAUAAGGCCUGUGUUGCACCCCGAGGGCCCCAGUGCCCAACUACCAUUAUCUGCCAUAAAUCUAACUAGAGAAGAGAAGCAGGAGCUGUGCGACUUCUUCCGUAGCGUGAAAGUUCCCUCUGGAUACUCAGCAGAUAUUAGGAAACUUGUGGCAGCAAAAGAGAACAAAAUGCUCCCAAUGAAGGCUCAUGACUGUGAUGUCAUGCUCACAACAAUGCUUGCAGUUGGGAUCAGGAACAUUUUGCCAGAAAAGUCCGAAUGACAAUCAUGAGCCUAUGCUUCUUCUUCAAUGCAAUAUCUCAGAAAGUUCUUGAUAAACAUGUCAUGCCCCAUUUGGAGUUCCCACCUGAAAUGAAGUCUGAGGGGUUUAGGACUAUAAUGAAGGUGAUAUCUAAGAGUUGGAGAACCCACAAAAAUAGGCUAGUGACCAAUUUUAUUGAGAAAAACCUUAGUCCCUUCAAGCAGCACCCAUACAUUGAACCUGAAGAUUGGGUAGAAUUUGUGGCAUUGAAGCAGUCCGCAGAAGCAGUAGCGGCAAGUGACAAAUACAAAAUGCUUCGGCAAAAGAAUGUGCACAACCAUUGUCUAGGCACAGCAGGGUAUGAGGGGAAAUUGAAACAGUGGGAGGCGGAGGAUGUAGAUUUAUCCACUAAAGGCAUCCCUAACCCAUGGGACAACUUCCCUGAAGGCCGCCCUAGGCAGUGGCUGCGAGCAAGGAGUAAGCUUGUUAGGUCAGAAGAUAAAGCUGAGAUCAUCUGGUCACAGGAUUCAACCAAAAAAAUCUCUGAAGACAUUAAAGAGAAGCAGUUAGUCGCAGAAUCCUCAGGCAUCACUUGGGUCAGGGAGAAUGAUGUGCUAACUGCAUGUUUGGGCCCUGAACAGCCAGGUCGUGUGCGCGGUGUUUCAGGUUACACUGGAUGGAAACAUGGAUGGCCUGAGUGUUCUGGCAUGUACAGAAAGAGGAAGAGGUAUGAUGUAGAUGUGGAAGCGAUAACAGCUCAAGUUAGACAAGAAAUUACAGCUCAAGUCACAGAAGAUGUGACAGCCAAGGUCACAAAAGAGGUUAGCGCCAAGGUCACACAGGAUAUCAUGUCCUAUCUUGCAGAUCAAGGAUUUCACAUAAGGCCACCACCUUCUAGGACCCCUAGUCUUGCUUGCGGACGGAGGAGCAGUUGUGCCUCUGCCUCCAAUGAUGUUGCAAAUGAACUGGAGUUGGAGAACAUUUCAUUUGAUCCGGAUACCAUUGAUCUUCUCAAACAGCCAACCCAAUGUUCCCUUGUAGCACACCUUAGAGGCUAUCAAGUUGUGGUUGCAGAGGGUCGGGUGUUCCCACAGGAAACUGAACUACAAUCAGUCCCAAUAGACUACGAGCAUGCAGUUGUCCAAGUGGAAUAUGUACAUCCAGGUUAUGAGGAUUAUGUGCUGCAGUCACCCCCUGAUGAUGAUACAAAUACACUUGGAGAAGCUCUACUAAAGAGAAUACAGUGGAGGAGGCUGCACAUUCUAGUCAACAGUACACUUGAGACCCAGCCAACCCAAUCUCAACCAAAUGAGAUCACAAAGAGUGCUUUGAAGGGCACUAAUGCUAUUAUUUCUACAAAGCUACUUUCAGGGGCCAAGUCAACUUCUUCAAAUCAUCAAUCUCCUGCCGUAUCAGCUGAUGCAACAAAGAGUGUGUCAAAGGAUCCUAAUGCAGCCAAUCCUUCAAAAAAUACAAAGAGCUUAGAGAGCGGGGCUGUUGCUAACACUAAGCUGCCCAUGCAGCCAAAAGUGGGUACUAAAGUUGUUGGAGGGAGUGGAAAGCCGCCCAUGCAACACAAAGGGGCGAGUAAGGUUGAUGGAGAGAGUGUAAAGCCACCCAUGCAACAAAAAAUAUCUAGUAAGGCCACUGGAGAGAGUGAAAAGGUGGUCAAACAUGAAAAGUUUGCUAGUAGGGCUGUUGGAGAGAGUCUAAAACCACCACCACAACAACAAAAAUGGGCUUCUAAGUACAAAUGUGGUCAGCCAUUUCUCCCAGCAAUGGACCUCAAGAUAGUAGGACCUGGAUGCACUGCUCUUCAUGCUCAUUACAUGAAAGAUUGUGCCGACAAUGAGAAGAGUGGGAUAUUGGUUCGGUUCAAGGGUAUUUAUAUGUUGAAUUCAUCAGAUUUUGAGGUCGGGCUUGUGAGAUACAAUCAUCUAUAUGACUUCUUCAACUUUGGCGCAUUGGAUUGCUCUCUUCUUCGAUGCUUGACACUGUAAGUUACUAAUGAUCCUUCUUACUCCCAUUGCCAUUGACAUACUGGUAGGCUAUCAAAGUUCUAAUGUAAAAUGAGCUUAUGUAGUUAGAAUGCUGAAAUAUUAAAGUGAUGUCAUGAAACGGUCCAUUCAUUUGAACCCUUGGCAAAUGUGUCUUUACUCAUUGGCAUAUGUUUUGGUUUCUUUACUCAUUUUCUCUACUUGUUCUUUCUUAUCUUUAGAUCACUGUUUGUAGAAGCUAAGGCUAAGGACAUCCCUGUGGGCUUUCUUGAUCCACAACUAAUGUCACUGAAUAGCAUAAAGUUUGAUAGAGUAGCUGUUCUGCAGUAUGUGCAAAAGGCCUUCACCAAAUAUACCAGCAAAGACUUCAUAAUGUUUGCCUACAACUCUUGUGGCCAUUGGGUUGUUGUGAUAGUAAUUCAAAAGUGGAAUAAGGUCAUAUACCUUGAUUCCAAUAGAUCUGGAAACCAUGAUUUCAGCAUGUUAAAGUUGUUGAUUGAUGAGUGAGUUCUUUGCUAACCUACUAUUUGACUUAUUUCAUAAAUGCCAAUGUCAUUGAAUGAAUUUAAUGAGGCAUAUGUGUGUCCUGCACUCUCCCAUGUAGGGCUUUUGCAACACACACAAGCAAUGACACACACCACUAAAUAUGCGGUAAGUGCUUCCAAAAAUAAAAUUCAGUAUUGUGCCUCUAGUAUAUUUAGUAUUGUGUUCAAGUUCCAUUUUUAAAUAAUUGUGUGUAUUAUUAUGUUAUAUAUAUAUUUAUUGCAGUGCCACCAACAAUCUAUUUCCGGCAAGGGAUCUAGCUUCUAUGCUGCACACCACUUAAUUUUAGCCAUGGGACAAACAAACUUGGAAUGCCCUGAGGUAUUCACAUCUGCAUAAUUAAUGUACAUGUGUUGCUAUCCUCUAGACUAAUAGAGAGUUGCUAAGAUAUAGUGUGAUCUGUUAAAGUAAGUCCCAAGUCAUUGCAGUAAGCAUGAACCAAAUAAUAACUUUCUACAAUUAAGAAAAUAAUAUGUUUUUUAGUGUCUUGAAAAAAAUGAAAAUUAAAUAAGGCAUCUAUAUUUUCCAUUAUUUCUUUUCUUGAAUGUGAAGUUGUAUUAGUAGUAGUCCAUAUAUAUCUUGGACCAUUUUCUGCAAUGCCUCAAUAGCAGGUGUGUCCACCGUGACAUAUAAAGUGUUCCUUGUCAUAAUCGUGGAGAUUAUUUUUGCUCAACCUGUAGCCCCUCGGCAAUGACCCUUGUAAUAGCUAUGUCCUAUAUCCCACUUCAAAGGAAAAGAAUGAACCAUAAGACUGAGGGUAUACUUUGAGUAGCAGUUAGAUACUACUAAGUCAAUGUCAGAUUUGUUCAAAGAACAAAUAAGGACACGCAUAGUGGCAUCAGCUGCAAAUUUCAAGCAUAUAGCAAUUUAAACAAAGAAUAUAGCAUUAGCUAAAGUUGCAAUGGUGCAAAACGUCCAACACUAAAGAAAUGCAUUCUGUUCAGUCACUUGAUUGAGACACAAGCAAGCUUUAUGGGAGUGACUGGAGCACAAUUGAAAGCAGGCACUACCACAUUUAAAACAUUUUUACAUAUAGCAAUCACACCUUUUAAGCUCCAACUUAUCAGCCAAUCAUAACCAGUUUGGUACAACAGAUUUGAAAGUAUAUGCUAUGUCUAAAUUGGCUAGUUUAGUACACAGUCACACACAAUGAUUUGUAAUUAAAACUAUAUGCUAUGUCUGGAUUGGCUAGUUGAAUUACAUCUUUUUCAUUGAUCUUCUAUAUUGUACUAUUGUACUAUGUCAAAUUUUCUUUUUUACCAAAGUUCUAUCUUGACACAGGAAUUUGAAGUGUUGACGAAGCCCAUUGAUGUGCACAUGAUUAGAGAAAAGUUGGCCAUGUUCUUAGUGACACAGGUCAUCAACAAGAAAGGAGAGUUCUAUCAUCCGAAUUAACCAUCAGUGUUGUGUGAUUGCCAUUAAUAUGGGUCCAGUGAUGUACUGUGUGACUGAAUAAGUUAUGUCCAAUGUUGUGAUAGAUUUCGAACAAGUUGUAAACCUAUUUUGAAUCUGUCAAUGAAUUUGAUAUAAAUGUGGAUCUAUCAAUGUAGUGUGUGACUUAAUAUUGAUGGCUUUCAUAUAUAUGUAUGUGGUAUGUGGCUCUGAUGAAAAAUACAAGUGACUAUUAAUGACUAGACGCGUCACUGUUAUGAUCCUAUUUCAGACAUGUACUAUUACCGCGCGUCACUUGUUUAUAUGGUGUCAGUGACACGUUAGGUUCACAUGAGUCACUGAUAUCUAAUUAUUAGUGACGCGUGUUCUCACUGCGUGUCGCUCAUAUAUCAUUACUAGUGACGUGUAUCCUCAGUGCGAGUCACUGAUAUGCCCUUAUCAGUGACGUGGUUUAUCAGUACGUGUCGCUGCUGUACUAACGAUUAGUGACCCAUGUAUUCAAUAAGCGUCACUGGUAAUUUGACAUCAGUGACGCGUGUACUAGAUACACGUCGCUAGUAUAUUCAUAUCAGUGACGCGUUUUUAAGCGUCACUAAUUUGUCCACAUCACAGACGCAAUAAAAGUGACGCGUCCUUUCCGCGUCACUAAUGACCCUCUAGACGCGUCACUAAUUAUCUUUUUUGGCAUAGUGUUUGGUAACUGUAGUAAACUAUAUACAGGGCUAAUUCAUAGUUCUCUGAUUAAAAUAUAUGAGAACUAAUCUACGCUAAAAUAGCAGAGUUAUUUGGUGGACAUGUCUGAUGUUGUUUCCACUGAUGCAGGUUCAUAGGGAGGCUGCUGGAUCAACAUCACUAAGACAUGCACGGUUUGACAAUGCCUUGUUAGCGGCAGAAGAGGCCGUGUUUUGCAAAGCCUGUGCAAGGUUUUGUUUUGGGCCUGUACCUGUAAAUUUUCCAGAAUUUUGGAUACAAGAAAGAGGAAGAAACUUACCCUAGAGAGUGCAAGAUUGCUCCAACCACAGAGCUCAAUAACCAUGCCUAUUUUCCUUUCAACAUUUUUUCCUUUGGCUCAUUGUUUUUUGGGGGGUUUUAGGUCUUGUUUGAAUCAAACAAUUAAAUAGUGUAAUCACUUACAGUUUUACAUCAUAUAGUGUUAAUAAAAUGAUUGAAUCUUCCAACACAAGAUCUGACGGAUCAGAAAUAGCAACACAUAUUGACAUAAACACCUGCAGGAUCGGGGUGUUCCUCUGUAGGGUGCUGGAAACAUGCAUGCCAUCGUCCUUGAUGGCCCCUUCAUGCUUCUGGUUCAACACUGCAGAGGGAGUUUUUAGCUAUUUCCGUUGAUCCAUAAUUCAUGGUUAUGGAAAUUUAUGAGUACCAUUGAUCUCAAUUUUAUUUGUUAUAUGCAAUUUUUUUUGUUCGAUUGGAAUCCCUGGACCUGCUUUCUUCUUGAAACUGAGGAAGAUUGUCAUGUGGGGCUGCUCCUACGCUAGGCAGCGCCGAGCCCACGACGUCCGCAGGGCGUCCCAGCGCGCGGUUAACAGCCUGGGCGCGAUCAGGGCAUCCCAGCGCGCGGCUAACAGCCUGGGCACGAUCAGCACGUCCCAGGAGGCAGGCGCGAUUAGUGGCUACGAUUAUUUCUAGGAGUUUGUUUCCUUCAGUUUAUUAUUUUUAGUUUUAGCCAAGGACUAUUUAUUUUGUAAUCAUGGAACUUGUUAGAAUUAAGCAAUAUAUUAUCAAUCUAUUAUUCUCUUUCUUCUCCAAACAAGCCGACGGCAGAGGGGCAAAACCUCGCCGGCGACGACGGACCAAGGCUACGAGCUCCGUAGCCGAGGGCCAGCUACCCUAGGUCCCGACGUCCGCCUUGAGGGCUGCGGUGAGGGACUUGAUGUCGUUGUUGUCGCCCAUGGCUGAUGCGCACGAGGAAGCGGUGGCCGGCGAGGAAGAAGGUGAUGGAGCAGCGGCUGGCGGUGGUGAUAGAGGGGCGGCAGCUGGCGUAGAAGAGGAUCGGGACGGCGAGGAUCUUCUGGAACGCGAUACUAGGUGGGUGACUGGGCACUUCUUCGCCUUCGCCAACGCCCAGCCGCGUCCCUGCCUGAGGCCGUCACGGGCAAGCUCAAGGCCCGGUUCCUGGGGCCUUACCGCGUCUCCGAGAUCAUCAAUGACGUGGCUGUGCGUCUGGAGCUUCCACAGCAAGCUCGGCUGCAUGAUGUCUUCCAUGUGGGCACGCUAAAGAAGUUCGUCGGCACUCCUCCAGCUGCUCCUCCGCCUUUGCCGGUCAUCCACCAGGGCGCUGUUGUUCCGGAGCCGCUCCGCGUCGAACAGGCGCGUCUAGCACGUGGCGUACGCCAGCUGCUCGUGCACUGGAAGGGCGAACCAUCUUCCUUAGCGACGUGGGAAGACCUCGAUGAUUUCCGUGCUCGGUAUCCUACAUUCCAGCUCGAGGACGAUCUGGACCUCGAGGGGGGGAAGAGAUGUCAUAUGGGGCCGCUCCUACGCUAGGCAGCACCGAGCCCGCGACGUCCGCAGGGCGUCCCAGCACGCAGUUAACAGCCUAGGCGCGAUCAGGGCGUCCCAGUGCGCGGCUAACAGCCUGGGCACGAUCAGCGCGUCCCAGGAGGCAGGCGCGAUUAGUGGCUACGAUUAACUCUAGGAGUUUGUUUCCUUAAGUUUGUUAUUUUCAGUUUUUAGCCAUGGACAAUUUAUUUUGUAAUCACGGGACAUGUUAGAAUUAAGCAAUAUAUUAUCAAUCUAUUAUUCUCUCUCUUCUCCAAACAAACCGACGGCAGAGGGGCAAAACCUCGCCGGCGACGACGGAACAAGGCUACGAGCUCUGUAGCCGAGGGCCAUCUACCCUAGGUCCCGACAUCCUUAACAAAGUUCAACUGUGGUCAUGGUUGUGUUGCGCGUGGCAUGCAAUCAGGUUUGAAGCAAUUUUGAAACACCACUUUACAGCCAUCAAUAGUAGCCUUUUUUUUCUUGAGGUGCAACCCUAUUUCUUGGCUGAGAAGGGAUGUUUUUUUCAUAAGCUGGGCUAUAUGCCUAUAUUCCAACCACCAAUAUGGCAAUAUGUAUGGUUACAUGGUAUUGUCCUUAUGUGCUACUCAAAAGAUCUUUAUUUUACAUAAGUGAAGUUCUUUAUUUUACAUAAGAAAUUUUAGUGUCAGGUGCCAAAACACAGGUCAGAGAAAUUUUACAAACUUGGAUUAACUAUUUGACUUUGCUAAGGUUCCUUUCUGCAUUUGUGGUAGUUUCUGAAUUUUAGUUGCAGCCAAAGAUCAAAAUGACUUCAGAUAUGGAAAAUGUACGCAAAAGUUGUGGGUAAUUAUGAGUCAUUUCCCUACUUGAAAAAUGUGUGCUUAUGAGAUUUAUACAUUUGAAACUGCAUAUGCAAGCAAAUUUUUACUGUUCCUUUUUCUAUUUCAGAUGUGCAGAUUCCUUUUUGCUCUACCAACUUUCAAGUAGAGUGAAGAAUCAUCUGUCUUUUAGUAGUAUGCUGACCCAGUGUGGACGAUUACGCGUGAGGCUUUUAGUAGUAGACUUUUUUUUUCCUGUGGACAAUCAGAAAUGAUUCAGUGCACUAGCUAUAUGUUGAUCAAUUAUUUAUUUUUGGCUUUCAGAUGUGUGGUAAUGGAGCCCAUUGCUUUUUUACACAACAUAGUGGAACUAGUGUUGUCCAUUUAUGCUCAUGAUUUUGGUCAAGAGUCAAGACAACCAUCGUGUUUGCCUUGCUGCUGGGUUAUCUGAGGUUAGAUUUAUUCUUCUUUAGUUUCAUGUAUAUCAGGAUUAACUGAAGUGCUGGAAAGGUAUCUAGGUUGAGACAAAAGUAAAUAUCAGUAAACCAGCAAACUCUCAAAUGAAACAUGGGGGCAAUAACCUUACCUGUUUAGUUAAAAUGAUUUAUUAUAAGACCAUUGAUAUUCUGACAGCAAGGCCCUUUGGCACUGUUUGCACUACGGGAACAUCCAGUUAGCCUCCACUACUUUAACCACGUUUAUAAACCCCUCUCCGUACUCGCCGCUUGUACGUUCCCUGUCCCCUCGGAAGGAUCCCGCCGCGGGGGAGAGGUGACGCCGCACCGCCGCCGUGGUUGUCUUCUUCGCCUCCCUUUGUACUCGUCGCUCGCUGCACCUCGCUCCACCUCUACCGGCCGGCAAUCUUCUUUGCGGAGAAUCUAAAUCUGAAGAUCGCCUCUUCGACUGUCUCCAACGUCGCCUCGCCAGAUCUGGGGAAUUUCAGUUACUUCUUCAACAAUCUGUUGUUGCUGAACGUCAACUUCAGCAUGGAAGAUCAUGAGUGCAGGUCAGUUACCUCAACACAAUGUGAUUUCUACAUCCAUACUCCUCCCUGGUCUGAAUACUAGACCAGGCCGUGUGCUUGAAGCUGAGAUUAGGCGUAAAUUUGGCACUUCUAUUACCCCUGAUUCUCACCACCCUCACCUUUACAAGCCUUUUUAUUUGUUGUUUCUUUUGGGAGAUGUUGUUAUCGUCUCUCCCCACAAACGGUUAGUCUCAUCCUUCAAGCAGUAAUCGGUGGUUCAUAUCUUAAUUUCGGAGUAGUUACUCUUUCUGAGCGAGUCUUUAGAUUCACGGUUUCUUCUCCAGAAGUUGGGUUCCAUAUUUACAAGCUAAGAAACUUUGGAUGUGAUCAGUUUAAAUUAUUUUUUAACCUCUGGAAUGGUGGCGGCCCAAAUUAUCUUCUGGAAUAUCAAAACUGGCUUCAAGAAGAAGCAAGUUCUUGGAAUUUGGUUGUUCGCAGUGGCACUCCAAAAGCUCCGAAAAUUCAUCUCUCCAGAGCAAAUACCAUCCCUUUGAAAAAUUCAAAAUCAAUUUCCUUCAAAAAUGCUCCUAGGUUGCGCCGUGAUUCCCGGCAAAAGAUUUUUUUUUAAAAUUCAAAGUCUCAGACCCUAUUUGCUUGGCCCAGCCCAAUCCCCCUCUUCCCCAAAUUGGACACCUCCCCAAGGCAAUGCUUCCCUUUGGGCCUGGAAUUCUGGGCAAAAGACCCAACUCACCGGCCCAAAUGACCUCACGGGGGGAUUCCAGCAGCUGCGAUCGGUUAAAUUGGGGAGCAUUAAAUCUAAACCUACCAGCCACGUUGUGAAUCCUCCGCCCCGAUUCCCGCGCCGGCCUGAUCCUGCCCCUGCCCCUAAUAGUACUCAUGCCCCUUCCAAUUCUAUCCCUUCUCGGUCUGAGACUGCGACAUGGGACAGAGCAGCCGAUCUUUCCCUCUUUCGGAGCAAUGUACCAUUUCUUUACCAAAUUAGCCCCACCGUCCCCAGUCGUUGUCCCUUGGUCUCUCUCCUGGAGACUCAAAGCCCCUGACUUCGACGACGACGGCCUCAAGGAAGGAUUGACCUCGUCGGUGUUGCCUAGGCCAGCGCCACCCCUGGAUUCUUCCUUGGCUGCAGUAAAAGCUCCUUCACCUCCUGCUCAUUUUCACAGUCUCGGUGAGUAUGCCUCUGCUUGCCUUUUAGGACCUCAACCCCGUCUCCCAACCUUACAUGUUCCCUGGCAUGAGAAUUCUAAUACUUUUGAUCUCCCACCUUCGCAGCCAACAAUGGCUUUUCGUCUAGUGGACCCGGCCCCUUUCAUGCCUCCUGGGGCGCAGCGGAUGAUGGUCCAUGGACGGCCGAUGAUGCGUCGAGUAGUCACAGGACAGGUUCAGGAACAAAAUAAUAACUGGCCAUUGCAAACUUUUUGCCGGCCCCACAAGAGCCAAUUAAUUUCAUGAUGAUCAGAGAUUUGAUUGAGGGCUUUCUGAACCAACGCAAUAUCGGGUUUCUAUCCAUUCAGCAGUGUCCCUUUGGUCAAGCGUAUGUAAGGCUUGCUUCUGUUUUUGAGAGGGACUUGCUGGUCCAUGGGGAGCCUCAACUCAUGGCAAACGGUGACUCCAUCUUUUUCACCCCUCAUAACAGAGCCUGGAACAAUCGCACUGCAGUUAUGACUCAUGAGGUUUGGAUAAUGCUUCUAGGACUUAAUCUUGACCUUUGGUCUGAACCCUUGCUGGAUAAAGCAGUAUCUUCGUUUAGACGUCUUCUGAUAUGGCAAGAAGACAUGUUUCACAUGUCUAGAGCUGUGGUCAGAGUCAGAGUAUCCAGCCUGGAAGACAUGCCUUGGUUUUUUGUCUUCACAGAGGGUUCUCAGUUUGAAUCAAACAGCUGGUGUGUCCAAUGCGAAAUCCUACAAGCUACCAUGUUAGGCAUUGCUCCUCAAGAUGAAGACCUUCCUCCCAAUGAUGAUGAUUUCAACCCCAACAACUACCCAAGGAUUCGGUCAACCAGUUAAUUUGAUGCCUCCACCUGCACCAAUAGUUCAUCAAUUUUUUCCAAAUCACGAUCUCCCUAAUCAGUUGGGAUUCCAGGCUUAGCCCCACCAGGAUAUGGAUAUGGGGAACAAUCAUUUUGAACCUCAAGAAGAAGUCCUCCAAGCUCAUGAUGUAAUUGAUCCCCCCCAAUUCCUGAACAGUAGGAACAUGUGCUGGCCAUGGAUGAGUUGACAGAUUCCUCAAAUGAAAUACCUCCUCUAAUUGACAACUUUGAAAAUGAGGUGGAGAUGCCACGAUUCCCAAAUCUACAGAAUUUGGCACCUCUAGUGGUUGAAGAAGUUCAAAUUGAGGAUUUAGUCCCUUUUGAGAAUCUGGGGCCCAAUCUCCACCAGAACCUUGAUGGUGGGCCAGCAAACAUCAAUUUAGGAAUGGUGCAUACUUUUUUAAUAACCCUGACCCCAGUCAAUUUCUCAACAUCAACAUCUCUGAUCACCUUCUUCAACCUUUUUGGGAACAGCUCAAAACUGCAGAUUCAGGCUUCUUUCAGAGUUUCCUGGAACACCAGAAGCAAUAUUCUCCUCAAUUCAGUCUGGGCCCAGUCAUACAUGACAACAACCUCUGGUCUUCUACUGAGCAAUAUCAUAGUGGGCCCUCCCUGUAGUAUAAGUCGAGCCCUAAUCCAAGCCCAGAAGCAAUUAGACUUUGGGCCAAAUUCUUCAGAGGAGUUGACCAGACUCAGCCCAAUGUCCUAGUGCCAACCAAAUGGAUUAAUUUUUUCACCCUAUUGCUACUUAAACAGUCAUCUUUUGAUUGGGCUAAAGAUCUUGUUCAAUCAAAUGCUUGGCAAUUGAUAGCUGGUGAUUCCUUUAAUGAAGGUUAUUACUUCUCCCUUCCUACUUCCAAACCUACCAUUUCAUUUUCUAAUUUAGUAUGUUCUGAGUAUGAACCAUCUGAGGACAUCUCCAAUAAUAGCUUGACAAUCCUCACAGGCCCUCUGGAAUCUACUCUUCUGCCGAAUGAUAACAUCACUGACCAAAACAAUCAUCAAAGUCCUUCCUCGAUUGGGGCUCCACCCUCUGCCCAUACAAUUACCACUAAAGGUAAGCACCUUCAUAUUUCUGAAGAAGGCUUGAGAAGAAGUAAUAGAAUCCAUAAUCUUAACAAAGGCUUCAAAUCCUCUUCUCAAAAGGAGAAAAAAUGUUGUCUUGGCUGUGAAUCUGAACCCCCAACUUUGUCUUCUGCUGUUGUGCGUAAUCUAGGUAUCACCUUUUGCAAUUUGAAGCCGGACCAAAUGGAUCAAGAUCUUCUGAUGGUCAAACCUUCACCCAACAAACGCAUAGUGGGCCGGCCCAAGAAGCCAAAGGAAAAAGGAAAAAAAGACUCCCCCCAAAGAUCAGCAAGAUAGUGGGGAUAAAGGGAACAACCCAAAAAGUAGUUUGCUACUUUUCGAUCUUUUGCUUCUUUGGUUAUCUAAAGCAGCUUUCUAAACCUUUAGACUUUCAUACUUAGUUUUAUGGCUGUUAAACACUGGAAAAUACUUAGUUGGAAUAUCAGGGGUAUCAACUCAGAGAAAAAGUGGAAUGCUAUUAGGGAUAGAGCUAUGGAGACAAAUUGUGAUGUAAUUUGUCUUCAAGAGACAAAACGUGAAACUUUUGAUCAGACAUAUCUUAAACUCUUCUGCCCCCCUCUUUUGACUCUUUUGACUACCUUCCAUCAAUUGGGGCCUCUGGAGGGUCUAUCAUCAUUUGGAAAAGCUCCAUCUUUCAGGGACAAUGUGUUUUCCAAAAUGAUUAUGCAUCCUCUGUGAUGUUCACCUCUAUGAUCAAUAACUCUUGCUGGAUUUUAACUAAUAUUUAUGCACCUUGCAUGGACCCAGGAAAAGCUGAGUUUAUCCAUUGGUUCAAACACAUAUCUAUGCCUGAUACAAUUGACUGGAUAAUUGUAGGAGACUUUAAUCUCUACCGCAACCCAUGCGACAGAAAUCGAGAGGGAGAUAAUUAUCCCGCUAUGCUUAUGUUUAAUGAUGCAAUCAGCUCUUUAGGUCUCAUAGAACUUCCCCUUAAAGGGCAGCGCUUUACCUGGUCUAAUAAACAACAUCCUCCUCUUCUUGAACGUUUAGAUUGGUUUUUCACUUCUGCUAGUUGGACUUUAUCAUACCCCAACACCUCAGUCAGCACUCUUACCAUGGAAACAUCAGAUCAUGUCCCUUGUCACAUUUCAAUUUCUACUGCCAUUCCAAAAGGUAUAUAUUUUGUUUUGAAAAUUACUGGCUCAAUCAUGAGGACUUCCAUACCCAAGUUCAACAGGGUUGGUUUACUAACAUCCAUCAUUCUGAUGCGGCUAAAAAUAUUACUGCAAGAUUUAAGAACCUAUGAAGUGUUCUUAAAUCUUGGAAAUAAACCCUUUCUAACCUGAACACCAAUAUCAGUAAUGUCAAACUCAUCCUUUCCCUUCUAAACUUCCUAGAAGAGCAUAGAGAUCUAAGUAUUUUAGAGUGGAACUUCAGGAAUUUAUUGGACCAUAAACUCAUAUCUCUCCUUCAAUAGCAAAAAACCUAUUGGAAGCAGAGAGGAGCUAUAAAGUGGGUCACCCUGGGAGAUGGCAACACCAAAUUCUUUCAUGCCCAUGCCACGAUUAAAUUCAGGAAAAACUAUAUUUCUUCUCUGCAGGAUGACAAUGGUUUGGUUUGGACUGAGCAUCAGGAUAAAGCUAACCUCAUUUGGAAUUCCUUUAAAGAAAGAUUAGGAUCUUCUAAUUUCACUUCUAUUGGUUUUGACCUUUCUACUUAUCUAACUCCUAACCUUCAUCUAGAAUCUCUAUCUUACCCCUUCUCUAAGGAAGAAAUUGACUUGGUGGUCAAAGCCCUCCCUUCUGAAAAAUCACCAGGCCCAGAUGGAUUCAAUACUAACUUUAUUAAACAAUGUUGGCCAAUCAUUUACACUGACUUCUACAAUCUCUGUUCUGAUUUUCACUCUGACCCUGAAUCACUCUGUUUACAGAGCAUUAAUGGAUCUUACAUAACCCUUAUUCCUAAAAUGCCUCCAAAGUUAAUGACUAUAGACCCAUUUCUCUCCUAAACUCUUCUAUAAAAAUCCUCACUAAAAUCCUUGCUAAUGGACUCCAGAGUGUGCUGCCCUCUCUCCUUCAUAAAAAUCAAUAUGGAUUCAUUAAAAAUAGAUCAAUUCAAGAUUGUAUAGCCUGGGACCUCGAAUAUCUACAUUCUUGUCAUCAAUCAAAAAAUGAACUACUCAUCCUCAAACUUGAUUUUGAGAAAGCCUUUGAUAAAGUUGAACAUGAGUUCAUGAUCCAAGUUAUGACUCACAAGGGUCUUCUGGCUAAAUGGAUUCAAUGGAUGUCAUCUAUUUUCAAUUCUGGUACCUCAUCUGUUAUCCUCAAUGGAUUACCUGGGAAAGUUUUUCAUUGCAAAAGAGGGGUUAGGCAAGGGGACCCUCUCUCUCCUCUCCUCUUUGUUUUAGCUGCUGACUUCUUACAAACUCUUCUCAAUCACGCGGUUUCUUCUGGUACUCUUUCUUUGCCCAUCCCUAUUACUAAUCAUGAGUUCCCUAUUUUACAAUAUGCGGAUGACACCCUCAUUUUUAUUAAAGCUUGUCCCAUUGAACUUGCACAUUUAAAAGAUAUUCUCUCUUCCUUUGCUGAAUCCUCAGACCUUAAAGUAAACUACUCCAAAUCUAUGAUGGUCCCGCUUAAUGUUUCCCCUGCUACAUCUCAAUCCCUUGCCCAAAUUCUAGGUUGCUCCAUUGGUGAUCUUCCCUUCACCUAUUUAGGGCUCCCCCUUUCCCUUUAUAAACCUUCAAUAGCUGGCUUCUGGCCUUUAACCACUAAGUGUGAGAGGAGACUUGUUGCUUUUUCUUCCUUUCUCAAUGAAGCAGGAAGAUUACAACUCACUAACUCUAUCUUAACUGCUUUGCCCAUGUUUGCAAUGAGCAGCUAUCUUCUUCCUAAAACCAUAGUUGAACAGAUUGAUAAAUUCAAAAGACAUUGCCUUUGGAGGGGUGCUGACACUAACAGCAAAAAACCUCCCAAAGCUGCUUGGCCCAAGUGUUGCUUGCCAAAAGAAGAAGGAGGUUUGGGCAUCCUUAAUAUCAACAAACAAAAUGAAAGUCUUCUCUUCAAACAUCUCCAUAAAUUCUUUAAUAAAGACACUACCCCCUGGGUCCAACUUAUCUGGGACAAGUAUUACUCUGGAUCCAAACUUCUUCCAUCUUCAGAUGUGCCCUUCAGAGGAUCAUUUUGGUGGCGAGAUAUUCUAAAAUCCCUGAACUCUUAUAAAAAUCUUGCCACAUUAACCAUCAGGAGUGGAUCUACCUGUCUCCUUUGGUAUGACUCCUGGACUGAUGAUCCUUUAAAACAGCAAUACCCUGAACUUUUUUCUUUUGCAAUCAACCCAAAAAUUUCUUUGGCCACUGCUUCCUCCUAUGCUAACCUCCGCUCCCUUUUCCAUCUCCCCCUCUCCCCUGAGGCUUACCUUCAAUAUCUUAACCUGAAAGCAAUCAUUCAAAAUUUGCAGCUCACAAAUGAGUGUGACAUCUGGUCUUAUAAUAAUGGUCAUACAACCUUUUCAUCCCAUUAUGCAUAUCUCCACCUUGUUGGUCACCAUAACCCACACCCUGUUUUUCACUGGCUUUGGAAUUCUUUUAGUCAAAAUAAAAGGAAAAUAUUCUUCUGGCUUCUUCUUAAUGACCGUCUUAAUACCAGAUCCCUCCUUUGCAGAAAGAAUAUGCACCUCCCUUCCUAUUGUUGUGUCCUUUGUCAUCUAAACGUUGAAGAAGAUCUUACUCACCUAAGAGCAAAGAUGGAUAUGAAAUCAAUGUUGACGACAUGGCUACAAGCUUAUGUAUAAUUUAUUUUAUCUUUUUCUACUCUUUCUUUGUCUCCUAAUUGAGACUUGUAACUCUCUGUACUGUUUUCAUUGUUGUUUUAAUAAAUUCCAGUAGGGGGUCAAACCCCUCCUGUUCCAUAAAAAAACAAUUCCAGUACAGUUUACUUUAUGGGUACUAUUUACAUGUGAGAUAGACAUUAUCACCUCUGGAUCGCAAAGGUUCUUUUUUCGGGCGAUGGCUCAAUUGCAGUGGGUUCCACUACAUAUUCCGUACCAAUUCCAGCAAUCACGAGAUUGUAAGGCGUACACGAUGGAAGAUUUGAGGAUUUUUUUAAAAAAACAUGGAAGAUUUGAGUUCUGCUGCCGUAGGAAUCAAAGCAGAUCAGCAGAACUUGCUGUUAAAAUAUAAGGCAUUUUCACAUUUAUUUUAAUCCAUAAAAAUGACGCAAUAAAAGGGAUAAUUACGACAUGAAUUAUUUGAGAAAAACAAUUCAUGAAAAAUAUUAAAAGGAUGACUAUCAAUUUGCAUAAGCAAAUUAAGGAGACAGAACAUACAACUAAUAUCAUUUUGUUUAUGUGAAUCAUCACAAAUGUGAGCAGUGUAUCUUCAAUAAUCGAAACAAAGAUGAGUACAGUAAUAUAUGGUACCAGUAAAAGAUUAUUCACAUGAUCAUCCAAGCAAAACAUGUAGAAUAAUAGCAAAAUGCUACCCAGGAACAUCAUGAUAUUAACAGUCAAAUUAACAAUAGGAUGAAGGAGAUUAUACCCUGCAGCAGAACCGCUCGCACCAGAAAAGGCCAUGGUGGUGCUUUGUCGUUGUAGUCGUCCCGCUCGGUGCAGUGCAGAAAAGGUUGCCGUGUAGUCGCUGCCGUAGAAUCACCAACGAGUAGUCGUGUCGCCAACGACACUCCCCAAAAACAUAAUCCCCCGUCCUCACCCGAGCAGAUGAAGCGCACGACGGAGACGCGUUCCGCAGGCCUACUCUUCCAUCUCUGGUGCUCGCCGGAGAUGGAAGAGAAAGGACUUGCGCAACUGGAUGUGGUUUAUCCUUAGUGGGAGAACCGAGAGGGUGCGGGUUCUCUUAUAGGCAAGCAGAAGGAGGAAGGCCAGGCGUGGAACAGAAAGGUCGCGCAUAAAGGCAGGAGUUACGGGAGUUACAAAAACUUCUCUCAAUCAAGAUCAUGAAGGCAGGAGUUACGGGAGUUACCAAAAACUCCUCUCAAUCAAAACCAUGAAGGCAGGAGUUACGGGAGUUACCAGAAACUUCUCUCAAUCAAAACCAUGAAGGCAGGAGUUAUGGGAGUUACCAGAAACACCUCUCAAUCAAGACCAUGAAGGCAUGAGUUACAAGAUUAAAGGCCUCGCUCGCCCGCCCGUCCGCUCGCUCGCUGCCUGCCUGCCUCGCCACGCCACGCCACGCCACACCGUCUCUCAGUUAAACUCCCAUAUGGUACAAAACAAAUUACUGCACAUGUAAGGACCAUAGAGUUUAAUAGAUAUUAUUAAAUUAAUGGGCUAGGCCCAUAAUAUCUAACAAUCCCCACCAAACUCUAGGGGUACACAAUUUUAAGUUCUCAAAUACCACAUUCCUUUUAUAUACCAGUGUUUCGAUGGAGACUGUUAAGUUGAACAUCCAUCUAGAAGACUAGCUACACUCAGCCACAACUGAACAAUGGACAAAACCUUGAAUUGACAGUUUUGUAUGAGAUGAGUUUCGCAAAGCCUCUUAACUGAUACUAGGCUGUCAAGUGCCUUUCCUUUGUUUAAAGCAUAUAAGUCACACUUCAGGGCCUUUUCAUGAGCAUCUAGAGAUUACCCACAUCUCAUAGAUUGUGACUAGCAAUCGAGCUCAUAUAGGUGUGUUCCUUAUAGGAUGUUUUGUAGGACAACAUCCCAGCUAUACAAAGCCGCUCGGAUCACAUUAAGAACUUAAUCAACUUGCCUUACAGUACUGGAGAGACGGUGCAUCUCCAACGAGCUGAGUUAUAGUCUAAGGGGUCUCUCCUCAGUCAGUCAACAGCUUGUUUCACCAUCCUAAUUCAUGGGAUCUCCAAUCACAUAGGACAGGUUACUACUGUUGCUGGCUCUACGUGGGUCUCAAACCUAGUUCCCUCGACGCGCCUUCUAUCACAUUUCAUGACAGACCCUUAGUGAAUUCAUCUGCCAGAUUGUUUGAUGUAUGGACAUAGUCCAAGCCAAUUAUUCUGGAGUUUCUUAAUUUUCUGAUAGUCUUCAAACGUCGUUUCACAUGAUUUGUGGACUUCAUGUUAUCCUUAGAACUGUUUACCUUUAUAAUCACUGUUUGGUUAUCACAGUUCAUAGAAAUUGCCAGGAUUGGUUUCUCAACAAUCGGCAAGUCCAUCAGGAGAUCUCGAAGCCACUCAGCCUCAGCACUAGCAGUAUCCAAUGCGGUCAAUUCUGCUUCCAUUGUAGACUUCAUUAAGAUAGUCUGCUUGCAAGACUUCCAAGAAACAGCACCACCUCCAAAUAGGAACACAUAUCCACUCGUGGCAUAAAGCUGAUCCACAUCAGAAAUCCAAUUAGCAUCACAAUAACCCUCUAGUACCCUCGGGUACCUGGAAAAGUAAAUGCCAUAACUCAUUGUCCCUUUCAAGUAGCGCAACACUCUUUCAAGAGCAUUCCAGUGAGUAUCUCCCGAAUUUGACACAAACCGGCUCAAUUUGCUUACAGCAAAUUAGAUAUCAAGCCUGGUUGCGCUAGCUAGGUACACGAGAGAGCCAAUUAUCUGUGAAUAUCUCAAUUGGUCUCUUACAAUUCUGUGAUUCUUUCUCAAAUGAACGCUUGGAUCAUACGGGGUAGGAGCAGGCGUACACUCACUGUACCCAAAUCGGUUCAAGACCUUUUCCACAUAGUGGGACUGCAUAAGAGUUACCCCACCAUUUCCUUCCUCCCGUGAAAGCUUAAUGUUAAGAAUGACAUCAGCCUCACCCAAGUCUUUCAUCUCAAAAUUGUUUGACAAAAAUUCUUUUACUUCUUUGAUCACAUUUAAAUUGUUGCCAAAUAUUAAUAUAUCAUCCACAUAUAAGCACAGUAUCACACAAUCACCACCACCAAAAUGAUAAUAUACACAUUUAUCAGCUUCGUUCACAGCAAAGCCGGCUAAUGUUAAAGUUUUGUCAAACUUCUCAUGCCACUGCUUUGAGGCUUGCUUUAGGCCGUACAAGGACUUCAAUAACUUACAAACCUUACCCUCCUGACCAUUUGCAAUGAACCCAUCGGGCUGAUCCAUGUAGAUCUCUUCCUCAAGCUCUCCAUUUAGGAAAGCUAUCUUAACAUCCAUCUGAUGAAUGAGAAAACCAUGUGAGGCAGCCAGGGAUAACAACACACGAAUGGUCGUCAGUCGGGCAACAGGUGAGUAAGUGUAAAAAUAAUCUUCACCUUCCUUUUGGGUAUAGCCCUUAGCAACAAGCCUUGCCUUGUACUUCUCAAUUGUACCAUCAGGCCUCAGCUUCUUUUUAAACACACAUUUGCCGCCCACAGGCUUGCAACCAAAUGGACGGUCAACCACUUCCUACGUCCCAUUGGACAUAAUAGAUUCCAUCUCACUUUGCACUGCCUCUUUCCACAUAUCAGAAUCAGGAGAGGAAUAUGCCUCAGAAAUGGUUGUGGGAGUGUCAUCCACGAGGUAUAUAAUAAAGUCUUCUCCAAAGGAUUUAGCAACUCUUCGCCUCUUACUUCUUUGAGUGACAGUAUUAUCAGCCUCCUCAGAAUUUUGCUCAAGCUCAUGGGUGUUGUCAUCAGCGUGUAUAUUUGAAUCAUGAGAUUCAGGAACAGAGUCCAUAAACAUGCUAGGUGCACCUAUUUUCAUAGGAAAUUCAUUCUCCAAGAACGUGGCAUCUCUAGACUCCAUGACCGUCCCAACAACCAUAUCAGGAGCAUUAGAGUUUAUUAUUAAAAACCGAUAGCCCACACUAUGAAUGGCAUAGCCGAGGAAAACACAAUCUACAAUUUUCGGUCCAAGCUUUCGCUUUUUGUUUAUUGGCACGUUCACUUUGGCCAAACAACCCCAAACGCGAAGAUAAGAAGUAUUUAAUCUCUUUUUCUCCCAUUCCUCAAAUGGCGCAAUUUCUUUGUUAUUCGUGGGCACUCUAUUUAGGACAUGAUUCGCAGUUAGAAUUGCCUCACCCCACCAUUCCUUAGAUAAUCCAGCAGUCUCCAACAUGGCAUUCACCAAAUCAGUUAGAGUACGGUUCUUUCUCUCAGCAAUCCCAUUGGAUUGAGGUGAAUAUGGAGGUGUCCUCUCAUGGAUUAUACCGUGCACCACGCAGAACUUAGAAAAUUCAGUAGAGAAAUAUUCUCCCCCGUGAUCGGACCUCAACCGUUUGAUUUUCUUCUCAAGUUGAUUCUCAACCUCAGCUUUAAAGGUUUUAAAUAUUGCAACGCCUCAUCUUUUGUUUUAAUUAGGUACACAUAGCAGUAUCGAGUGCAAUCAUAUAUGAACGUUAUGAAGUAUCUCUUACCACCUUUUGUUAAAAUUCUGUUCAUUUCACAAAUAUCGGAAUGGAUGAGUUCAAGUGGUGCCAACUCUCUCGCCGCAGCAGCCUUGUGAGACUUGUGAGGUUGUUUUGCCUCAACACAUGUAUGGAAUUUUGAAUUUUUGGCAACAUAAAAUUUAGGAAUUAAAUUUCAAUUAGCUAAGCGAGACAUGCAGCCAAAAUUAAUAUGACAUAAUUGAGAAUGCCAAACAUUCAUCUCAACAUUAACGUUAUUAACCACAUUGUUCAUGGCAAGAGGUAAAAGUGUCAACCAGCGACAAGCGGAACAAGCCUCCACUUUCAUAGCCUUUUCCAACAAAGGUUCCAUACUUUGACAUUACACAUUUAUUAGACUCAAACACAAGUUUAAAGCCAUCACGGCACAGCAAAGAGCCACUAAUCAGAUUUUUCCUUAUAGAGGGGACAUGAUGUAUGUUCUUGAGUUGCACGGUCUUCCCUGAAGUAAGCUUCAGAUCCACUGUACCAACACCAAGAACACCAGCACGCGCACCAUUCCCCAUCAGCAAGGCUCCACUCCUCCCGAUCUGGUAAAAGGAAAACAAGGACUUAUCAGCACACACAUGUAUAUUUGCACCUAUAUCAACCCACCAAUCAGGUGAGGAACAAACUGAAAAUGCAGAUAAAUUGCCAUACCCAGAAGCACCUGCAUCAGUCUCAAUGGUGAUAGCUGUCUUCGCCUUUGGUGAGGGCUUCCAUUUAGCCUUAGGACACUCUCUGGAGAAGUGCCCAUUGUUCCCACAGGUGAAGCAAGUCAUUUUCGCCUUGUCAAAUCCCAUCUUCUUGUUAUUACCUUUCUUGAAGGAAGUAGUGGGUUUCUACUUAAGCUCCUGCUGGGGCUUCUUCUUCUGUGGUUUAGGAUGAAACUUUUGCACCACAUGUGCACUAGUAGUCGCCUCACCAUUCUCGCCCUUGCCCUUCCCCUUGACAUCCUUUGCUCUAGACUUGUCCUCGACAUUAAGACUGCCAAUAAGUUCAGCAAUACUAAACUGCUGCCUCUUGUGCUUCAAGGUAGUAGCAAAAUCAGUCCAGCAAUGUGGCAGCUUAGCAAUAAUGCAGCCUGCCACAAACCUAUCAGGGAGAGGACAUCCGUACAGCUCUAAUUCUUUCACCAGUCCCUGUACCUCAUGAGCCUGUUCGACUACAGAACGGAUAUCAACCAUCUUGUAGUCAUGGAGCUGCUCCAUGAUAUACAGCUCAGAACCAGCGUCAGAAAGACCGUACCGGGCCUCAAGAGCCUCCCACACAGCUCUGCCCGACAGGAGUGGUAUGUAGGCAUCAACCAGCGAAUCAUGGAUGAUGCUCAACAGUGCAACCUUGCACAUGGUCUCAGCAUGUCCCCAGGCCUCCUCAUCCUGCUCGGAUCUCACACCGGGAGGCUGCUUCUAGAGCACAUGACCACAGCGCAUGGCUGAUAACCACAGAAGGGCUUUCUCACGCCACCUCUUGUAGUGAGUGCCCUCAAACGGCGUAGGCUUUAGCAUACCCGCAAAGCCAACAGAUGAAAAUGGCCUGAAAUUACGUUUUUGGAUUGUUGAAACAUAAGGCAUUUUCACAUUUAUUUUAAUCCAUAAAAAUGACGCAAUAAAAGGCAUAAUUACGACAUGAAUUGUAACACUCCUAGUGUUAGCUUGCAUGUCAACCAUGAGCAUUGCAUCAACAUAAGCAUAAUCAUGCUCAUUCAUAAGCAUCAUAUCAUGAUCACAUGUCAUCUUAUGUGUACCAUGUGUGAUUUACUUGUUAUGUAACUUGCUAUAUGCGAUAGUAAUGUGUAACCAAUGCAUAUAAGUUCACAUUGUCUUCCAAGAUACUUUAAUCAUAUUUAGAAUAACAUUUUGAACAAAGUUUAUGCUGGAGGUUCCCCCAAAAAUGCCCCUAAGUCAUGGUUAACCCUAGGUUGACCUAGUUGACCCCCUAAACCUCUUUUCAAAGACCUUAUAUCAAAACCAGUGCUAGAGACCUUGCAUGUAAAUGACAUCUAAAGCAAAGUUGUAGCAAAUUUCAUAAGCUACAAAAGUUAUGUUGAUGACUUUUUAUGAAAAUGCUUGGAACACAUUCAAAAUUAGCUCACAAGGCAAAAAUCAGGGCUGUUUCUACACUUAGCGAAAUUUGCCUAAGUCAGAGGCGACACAGUUUCGAGGUAGGGUACUUGGGAGCUUUAUAGUUUGAAAUCCAAGCAGAACCAGACUUUGAUCCUUUAAGCAAUCUUGUGGAAAUCAUGUAGCUCUAUCCAAUGGAACAAAUCCGAGCCAAAACCAUCGAGUGAAUUGAGAGUAAAACAUCGACGAAGAUCAGGGUUCAGACACUGCCGACGGCGACUGAAUCACGCGAUUCAAUUCGUCAGUCACUGGCCGGCCGACGCGUGGACGACCCGUGGCGGCCGUACGUCGACGGCGACCCCGCAUGUCAGCUCCAGCAUGUCCCCUUGGACGCCACGACGCCACCCCGAGCGCCAGCCGUCCUCAUUUCCUUCCCCGGCGCUCUCUCUCUUCUCCAUUUCGCCUCGGCGAGCUCCGCCGCAAAUCGGCAGCUUCGCCCGGGCGUUCCUCGCCGUUUCCGGCUGAGCCAGCCAGCCAAAAGCUUCGCCAGAGCCUCCUCUACCUCGGCGUCACCUCUUUGGCCACUGUCGAGCGCUGGUAAGGCGGCAUUGCCAAGCUCCGAGCUGUUCUCCCUCGCCGCCCUCGCCGCAGUUUCGCCCGAGCUCACCGGCGACGUGGCCAGGCCUCCCUGCUCCACCAUUUCAUCUCAUUUUUUCCUAGAGCUUCCCCUUGACCCACUGAUGCUCGGCAUGAACCUCAACCGGAUCGGCAUCGGCUGAGCACGCCGGCGUAUCGCCCGCAGCGCCGCCGAGCCGCCAUUCGGGCCGACGAGCCCCCUAGAGCUCGGUAGAGUUAGGGUUUCGCACCUCGGCAGGUGCGCCUUGGUGAGAGGGUCACGACUGUGCCCUUGGAUUCGUCCGAGACCUCGCCGUCAUCGAGUUUCACCGGCGACGAGCUCUCCCUGUCUCUGUGUCACUGUUGAGCGGGUCCCGCUGACCAGUGAGUCCCUCUAUCAGCCUCUGUCUCUCUCCCCUCUAGUUCACUGUUUUGCAGAUCCUGUGUUGUUUUUGUAAAAUUUAUAACUUGAGUUAUACAGAUCCAAAUCGAGUGAUUCCAAUUUUGCUAGGUUCUUGAGUCAGUCUAGUUGUUAUUCAAAAUAUAAAACAUGCCAUGUUUUUGCAUAAAUAAAUAGAUAUAAUUUAAUCUUGGUUAAAUAGGAGGUAAUUAUAUCUUGGGAUCUUUGAGUUCUAUGGCCAUGCAAGUUUAGGGAAGUAUUCUUCAUGCUAUGAGUAGGCUCUGAUAAAUUUAUCAUGAUUUUUGGAUGACUGUUGGUGAAGUUAUAAUUAUUUCUUGUUUAAAUAGGAGUUUCUUGUGGUAAUUUUAGUAAAUAGAUUAUAACUCCUUUUAUGUUGAAACUUGCUAAGUGAUGUAACUAGGUGCAAACGAAGCUAACAAAAAUCUGAAAUAUGUUGUUUGACACUUUUUGAUAGGGUUUUACAUUUAUGUCCUUAAUGCCAUGGUUAGCUUGUCAUUUUUGUAUCUUGCAAUUUACAUGUGCAAGAACCCUGACAAUUUUACAGUAACAUUGUGGUAGCCUAGAUAGCUUUCUGUAAUUUUAUUAGAAUUUUUGGAGCACUUGUGUUGCAUGCUCAUGAAAUCAUCUUAAUAAUUAAAUAAUUAGAAAAGGUGAUGAUAAAAAUGAGUUUAAGCCUUGCCAUGAUGUUUUAUGAUGUUUCUUAGACAUGUUCUAUCUACUGGUGCAUUUGGUUUGGACCAAUGUUACACUCUUAGUAUAUGUCAAAAUAUUAUUUUGCUAAUUAUGUCCUUCCUAGAGCAUAUUCUGUGUAGCUGAUAGAAAAUUGUUAAGAACUGCUUGAAGAUAAAGUUUUCUGGAAAACUUGUCUAUAACAAACUUGUAGCUAACUUGCUUACCUACCUUAUGUCCAAAUCUCAUGACAUUUGGCUGAGUGGUUUAAGAGUUAUGAAUGUUACACGUAGCUGCUGCGAAGUGCUUGCUCUCUGGAUUUUCCAGGACAGCCAGCAAACUUUGCCUGUUUCAACCUACUUUUGUUGGGGAUCUUUCUAGGAUGUCUGAAAGUGAAUUGUAGACAAUUUGUUAAGGUUUCCAGAAAGUGCCCACUUGCUUAGUUUGGCCAACUGGUGCCUAAGUUAUAGCUGAAACUUGUGACUAGCUAAUCUGUCCAUGACACCAGUGGCUAAGUGUGAAUAGCUAAGGUUGGGUAGCUUGCCUAGUUAGUCUCUCUACCGGAGAAGAAGUAUGCACUUACGUGUUGUUUCAUGAUCCUCUUUAUGUUAGAAGCUUAUGCUCAUGUUUGCACCCUGUUUUACGUUCCUUUGGCUUAUCUUCAUGACAUUAUGCAUCAUAUGUGCAUUCUCUUUAUUUAUCGCCUUGUCAUGCAUACUUAGGUGUACCCAAGGGCGUGACGGUCUUGGAGUUCGCACCACCCGAGCCAGAGGAGCAGCAGGGGGAGCCACCUCAAGGAGCUGAGGAGGAGGAGGACCUACCGGAGUGUCCCGAUCACCGUCCUUCCACCUACAUCGAGGGCAAGCCCGGAGCAUUAUAAGCCUCCUCCUAUUUUUGUUAUCAUGUCCAGUUGUCAAUUAACUAUGGUUAUGUAUUGUUGCAUUAAGUGUUAGGCGUUGAUAUGACACCCUUGUUGCAUAAUGACUACCUUGUCCACCUUAUACCUUACCCAAGUAGCUCCAAGAUCGAAAUGAUGCUUAGCCAUGCUUAGCUCGGUAGAAGCCGGGUGAUUUCCUAUCACCUGCGAGAGAUAGAUGGAUACUGGAUCACGGUUGGCUAUAUUUGCUAUCGUGGAAAAUAACCAUGUACUAAUAAUGAAUUUGGAACCGGGCGGGAUGACGAUAGUGCAACAACAAGGCAUGGAGGUCUUGGGUGUGAAUCUAUCCUCGUCUGUGUUGGUUAAGGACUGAUUCGUUGUACGUCCUCGUGUCAUGUUGAACGCAUGCCUAACACUUAGUUGGCCGGAUAAGUCGUUCCGACCGCGAAGCCUACGAGUGCAACUCAGGCCGGAUACCCCGUUCUGUAUGAGUGCGCACCCCGGUUGGUAGCAAGGAUGUGCGGGGAGUCAAUGGCGUAAGCCCAGGUCUCAGGUUAGAGUCCUGCCCUGGUAGAUUGGCGGUCCCUAGGGGUGCGGCGCUGGACGGACCCGUGACUUGGUCCGGAGUUGUGCUAAAGGUGAUCCGAGCUGCCCUCAUGAAGUAUGCUUGGGUGAGUGCUAGGAAUACCCCUCCAGCUGGAUAGGAAUCGAUUCGAAUCGCCGUCUCUCCCGGAUAGUGAGAACUUGACUCGAGCAGCAACAACGUAGAACUCACUGAAUAACUUAAUGGUUAUGAUGAAGAAUGUGAUAGCUAUGUGAUAAUCUGGAUAUGGUUAUUAUUGUGAUGCUUAAUACUCAAGUGUAUGCUUAGAACAGGUGCUAAUCUAGUGGAUAGUUGAUUCAAAUAAUUAACUUGCUGCUAAAAUUAUUAUAAAUGUGUUACUUACAACUAAACAACUUUUCAUGCAAAAGUCGAGUCAAACCAGUCCACAAAUAUUAGCCUUGCAUACUCCUUGGUGUCACUUUAUUUCUGGUUUAUGACGGGUGAGUCUAGCUGAGUACAUUCUCGUACUCAGGGUUUUAUUUAUCCUUGUUGUAGAUGAUGUCGUGUCUCACGGCUACUGUGCUAACUGUCAUCAUCCGGCUGCGGAUGACGAGUAGAUCAUGGGAAAGAUCACUUCUAUUAUCUCCAGUUAUGCUUUUGUGGGAAUGACUAUGGAACUGGCAUGUAAUUGAACUGAGUGUGUGUUGUUUAAAACUACUUUGCUUCCGCUAUCAAACUAUGUUGUAAUAACUCUACUUGAACUACGAUGUGUUGUAGAACUAUGUUCUGUGAUGAAUGCUGUAAUCUGUGAUGGAGAUGCUUGAUCAUGUACGGUCUUGAUUGUAUGUUGGUUGAAUCGAGAUCUUCUGAGAUUUCGUCGGACUACCGGGUUUAUAUGGGUUCAAGUCUAUUGGCUUGACUACCUUUGUGGUCGCUAAUUCACUUGAAUUCUUAUAAAUUGGACGGUUCUGUUACAUGAAUUAUUUGGGAAAAACAAUUCAUAACAAAUUUAAAAAGAUGACUAUCAAUUUGCAGAAGCAAAUUAAGGAGACAGAACAUACAACUAAUAUCAUUUUAUUUAUGUGAAUCAUCACAAAUGUGAGCAGUGUAUCUUCAAUAAUCAAAACAAAGAUUAGUACAGUAAUAUAUGGUACCAGUUAAAGAUUAUUCACAUGAUCAUCCAAGCAAAACAUGUAGGAUAAUAGCAAAAUGCUACCCAGGAACAUCAUGAUAUUAACAGUCAAAUUAACAAUUGGAUGAAGGAGAUGAUACCCUGCGGAGAACCGCUCGCACCGGGAAAGGCCAUGGUGGUGCUUUGUCGUUGUAAUCGUCCCGUUCGGUGCAGUGCAGAGAGGGUUGCCGUGUAGUCGCCGCCGUAGAAUCACCAGCGAGUAGUCGUGUCGCCAACGACACUCCCCAAAAACGUAAUCGCCCGUCCUCACCCGAGCAGAUGAAGCGCACGACGGAGACGCGUUCCGGAGGCCUACUCUUGCAUCUCUGGUGCUUGCCGGAGAUGGAACGGAAAGGACUUGCGCAACUGGAUGUGGUUUAUCCUUAGUGGGAGAACCGAGAGGGUGCGGGUUCUCUUAUAGGCAAGCAGAAGGAGGAAGGCCAGGCGUGGAACAGAAAGGUUGUGACUCAGAAACUCGUCUCAAUCAAAACAUAAAGGCAGGAGUUAUGGGAGUUACCAGAAACUUCUCUCAAUCAAGAUCAUGAAGGCAGGAGUUGCGGGAGUUACCAGAAACUCCUCUCAAUCAAAACCAUGAAGGCAGGAGUUACGGGAGUUACCAGAAACUCCUCUCAAUCAAAACCAUGAAGGCAGGAGUUACAAGAUUAAAGGCCUCAGCUCGCCCGCCCGUCAGCUCGCUCGCUGCCUGCCUGCCUCGCCAUGCCACGCCAUGCCGUCUCUCUGUUAAAUUUCCAUACGGUACAAAAUAAAUUACUGCACACGUAAGGACCAUAGAGUUUAAUAGAUAUUAUUAAAUUAAUAUGCUAGGCCCAUAAUAUCCAACACUUGCAGCAAACAAACAGGGCGAUGUGCAGAGUCAGUGAAGAAAAUAUAUAUCUACUGCUGCAAAUUACUCCCUCCGUCCCAAAUUAUAAGUCAUUCCAAGAAUCUUGAAAAGUCAAAGUUUUUCAAGUUUGACCAAAUUUAUAUAGCAAAAUAAUAACAUUUUUGGUACCAACCAAAUAUCAUUAGAUUCUUUGUUAGUUAUAUUUUCAUAGUGUACCUAUUUUAUGACAUAAAUCUUUGUAUUUCUCUCUAUAUUUUUGAUCAAACUUAAAAAUGCUUUCACUCUCUAAAAUUUUUGAAACGACUUGAGCCGAGGAAGUAGUAAUGGAUGGAGUGAGCACUGAGCAGGCUUCGGUUGAAUUCGGGGGGCUCCGCUGACAGAUGCACUGACGUCAAGAUUGGUAUGAUGGUCACCCACUCAUCCUAUACGAGCUUUCACGGUGUCACGGAAACACUCCUGAUUGGGUGGAGCAUCCGCACUAGCGCACCGCCCAUUCUCUCUGCAUUACUGCAUAGACUGCGACGUCCCCGUUGCAAUCGGAAGAAAGGUCAGGGACGAUUAGUGGACUAUAUGGAAUCUGUAACAACUCCGCUUGCAGGGAUGAAUCUUGAUAUAUUAUCUAAAAAGCUGAAACAUCCCAUAUUCAUAUCCAUACUAGCGUCGAUGUGGAUAUUUCAACAUACUCCCUUUGUUCUAAAAUAAUUAUCGUUUUAGGUUUCUAUGUCGUAAAUUUGACUAGAUUUAUAAAAAAUACAUGUAACAUUUAUAUCUCUAAAUAAAUUUAUUAAAAAACUAGAUUUAAAGAUCUUUUCGAUGAUACUAAUUAAAUAACAUAAGUACUAAUAUUUUUUAAUAUAUAUUUAGUCAAAAUUAUUUUUUGAAAAGCGAGAACGACAAUUAUUUUGGGACGGAAAGAGCAGAUGCUAAAUGGAUGUAUUUGAAUUCAUAUCCAUAUUUUUAAAAAAAUGAAAUAUCUGACAUUUUCCAUAUAUGUAAAGAACAAAAUGACAUCUAAAACUUAUAUUUAUAAUAAAUUCGAGGUAUGGCCUAUGUCCACGUCGUCAGAAUAGAUACCUGAAUGUGAAUUUGAUUUCGAGAUAACAUAUCGGAAUGUGAAUUCAAAUUUAAGAUAUCCAUUUUAUAUUUAUAUUUGACAAUAUUUAUGUUCAGAUUUGGAUCCAAAUUAAUAUCUAGAUUUGAUUCUAUACGAAUCCGAUCCAAAUCCAUCUCUAAAACAUUGGCAGGGAUGAAGCCGAUAAUGUCUCGAUCAUGGGUCUUAGUUGAUAGGUUAUGACUGAGAGAGUAAAUAUUGUUAAAUGCUUAGGCAGCCAAGAGCUGACGGCGAGCCUUGCGUGCACAUCUCGUCACUAGCGUUGCGUGAUUCCAUGUGCGUGCGACAGCUAGCGCUUGGCACUCGCUUUGGAUUUGGAAUAUCAUCAAGCGAACCAAAACAAGGAACCGAGCGAGGUGCAUUCUACUGUUGUUAAACUUUUGCUUAUAAUAACAAUCAAUACGUAUAUCUAUCUGCGACGUGUACAUCCUUGCAUUGCAACGAGUAGAGGGAAGCAAAAUCUGUGCACAGUGUGCACACGCUCUUAGCUGUUGGAAACUCGGGUGGUAACUUUCCCACAUCAAUUAACUAAUCUCAAAAUCUUUUCCCAUAUAAUGGGUUUCGAAGUCUCAUGGACUGAAAGAUCUUGUUAAAGAAAAUUAUCGUAUGUUGGUGUUUCGUGUAAGUUGUACUAUAUAUUAACCUCAAAGCAAACAUUUUUAUUAUUAUUAUCUAAAUUGGUGUUCCGUGAAAGCAAACAUCUCCGAAACUCCUCCGUGCGUACGUCCUAUGGAGCUCCGGCAUGACGUGCCGGGCAAGUCCAGCGACGCCCGAGGCCCGGCCCCAUGCCUCGCUGCUCCCCCGUUCGGCAACGCGUACCCUGUAGGAGCCGUCGUCGUCUUUUUUUUUUCCCCCUUUAACGAAUGUCUGUUAAAUUUAAUUCAGAGUAUCAUCUCGGACAUCUAUGGGUUUUUGAAAUGGUGUUGACGCUACAUUCUGCCAACACACUCGUAGGAAUUAGAUCACUGAGACACUGUAAGCGACCUAGUCCCUAAAUAGCGGUCAAAACUGAGCAGAAAAAGAUAAAAAAGAUAAGAAUAGAAAUUAUCCUAAUAUAAAAACCAUAAAGAGUUUAUAGGCUCUUUUGUUUUUCUUACCAAGUUUAAAUUUCAUUUUUCAGGGAUCUGAACAUACACAAGUCCUGUUUUUUUUUUCAGGUUGGUUUUCUGUUCAUCAAGUCAUGGUAACAUGUCCACCUGUUUUUUUUUCCUUUAUUUUUUUUGCAUGUAUGAGGCUGGUCUUUCCUUUGUAUACAAGAAAUAAUAGGCUAGGGUUGAAAUAGACCCAAAAGUUGGCUAGUUCAAAGUUGGCUAAUUAGGUGUCUGAGCUGUACUUUGUUUUUUCUAUUUUCCAAAAGUCCUUCCUGAACCAAUCUAUGACUUUUAAUCCACGCAAGUAGUGUUGUCCGGACUGUGAAGUCUCAAGACGUGAUUUCCUAAAUCCAAUACGUGGCAUUUAAUCCUUUCUUCUCUUCACGCCAUAUUUUAAACAAACUGCUACAACACAUUGUUGUAGCACCUUUUAGAGUCGAACUCCGUAUCAUGCUAGACAAAAACUAUUCUAACUUAUAUGAGCAUAGAGUAUUAUAUAUAUAAAUCUAGAAGGAAGAAACUUUUGACUACCGGUAGUUACGAGGAGGUGAACGGAAAAAAUGGAUGGAUGAAAAAAAAACAUGAAAUUUUGGCUCUUUCUUAUUAGGUAUAGGUAUAGAUUUGCUAGCUGAUAAUCUUGUUAUCAUAUAAAAGCAGCCAAACUUGAAAAAAAAGCAUUUGAAUGACUGUCUAAAAAAAGUAUUUGUAUAAUUUACUUUCCAACAAAGUGAAUAUUAAUUCAAUGUAGUUCGAUUUAAAUGGUCAACGUGGCUGACGUGGUGUUGCAUAUAUAGAAGUAUAGAACGAAUGACGUGAUGCUAUAUAUAGGAUGGUUGAUGAUAGCCUGUUCGUUUAUCUUAUCAGCCGUAUUUUUUCUGUCAGUCAAUAGUAUUUUUUUCAUAAUAAAUCAGUGAAUACUAUUUUCAGCCAUGGUUUUUAGAGCAGUGAACAGCUAGAUAAAAACAAUAACUAAUUGUAUAGUUUUCUUGUAAUUUACAAGACGAAUUUUAAAAUCUAGUUAGUCUAUGAUUGAACAAUAAUUAUCAAAUACAAACAAAAGUGCUACAGUUGAUAAAAAAAAUUCAUGUAGGAACUAAGCAAGGCCAUAGUCUAAAACCACAUUGGAAGCCGCUUAGCGUGCAAAAACAAAAUAUUUUAAAAAUUAAGGAGUGACCAACAUUCAGUUAUAUAUAUAUAUAUGGAAUUUCUUUUGUACACAUACGUGUAGUUACUCUCAUCUUCAAUAAACUACAUUUUGUAUGUAUUCAUACUUUUUUAUCGGUUUGAGUAUGUUUAUAUACUCAUAUUAAGAUACUCUAAAUCUUACCACGUGAAAAAUUUUCAAAAAAAAAAAAUUUUAAAUAUAUUACUAAAAUGCCACUACUAUAUUAUAUACAAUAAGUAUAACCAUAUACUCUAUGUAUGCAUGCAUACUUAACGUACAUAUCACUAUAGAUGGUCUAGUAUGAUCAUAUACUUUGUCUAUAUACAUUUCAUCCGGUCAUAUAUACCUUAAAUAUAGAGAUAUAUACAUGAGAGUAACUACACGCGCGUGUAAAAGAAACGCGUCCUAUAUAUAUAUAUAACUGAAUGUUAGACAAGAUGAUACUGAGGCCUUGUUUACUUCCACCCCAAAACCCAAAAUUUUUCAAGAUUUCCCGUCACAUCGAAUCUUUAGACGCAUACAUGGAGUAUUAAAUAUAGACAAAAAUAAAAAUUAAUUGCACUAUUUGGUAAAUUUACGAGACGAAUCUUUUAAGCCUAAUUAGUCCGUAGUUGGACAAUAAUUACCACAAACAAACGAAAGUGCUACACUGUAAAGAAUUUUUUUCCUUGACCAACUAAAUUUGGCAUGAACACUCUCCAAUACUACUCAGUAUUUUUUCUACUCAAUUUUAACUUGCGAUGUAGAAUAAUAUUCUACACCUAGGGUGUACAAUAGCGUUGCCGUAUAUAUAUAUAUAUAUAUACAGAGAGUAAUAGUUAUAUAUAUAGGGAGAGUAUACUCUAUAGCUAGCUACAAAAUAUGAUAUUCUAUAGCCACCUUCAUUUACGAUAAUUUUAUAUACUAAUUUACGAUAAUAUGUAUAUAUAUUUACGAUAGUUAGGUUACUAUAACACAUUGGAAUAGUUAUUAUAGUAAACCACUUAGUAAGGAGUUACUAUAAUCUUGUAAAUUAAUAUAGUAAUUAUCGUAACUCAAAGUGGUUACAAAAUAAGUUAUUUUAUAGCUAGUUACAGAGUAAUAGUUAUAUAAUAUAUAUAUAUAUAUAUAUAUAUAUAUAUAUAUAUAUAUAUAUAUAUAUAUAUAUAUAUAUAUAUAUAUAUAUAUAUAUAUAUAUAUAUAUAUAUAUAUAUAUAUAUAUAUAUAUAUAUAUAUAUAUAUAUAUAUAUAUAUAUAUAUAUAUAUAUAUAUAUAUAUAUAUAUACAUCAAACUGUUAUACUGAACAAAAUUUCAGUAUCGCUCAGUAUUCGUGUUUCAGUAUUGUUCAGUAUUUCAUGGUCCAGAGUGUUGGACAAGUUGAUACUGAUCACUCUCCAGUACUGUUCAGUAUUUUUUCUACUCAGUUUUGAUUUGCGGUGUAGAAUAAUAUUCUACACCUAGGGUGUAGUGUAGAAUAGCGCUACCAUGUGUGUGUAUAUAUAUAUAUAUAUAUAUAUAAGUGCUAUUUUACACACUAGGUGUAGAAUACUAUUCUACACCAAAUUGUAUCCUGAACAAAAUUCAGUAUCGUUCAGUACUCAUGUUUCAGUAUUUGUUUAGUAUUUAAUGGUCUCUAUGUAGUAGUAAGUGAUACUGAACGCGGUUCAGUAGUACUCAGUAUUUUUUCUGCUCAUUUUUAACUUGCGGUGUAGAAUAUAUAUAUAACUAUUACUUUGUAGCUGGCUACAAAAUAACUUAUUUUGUAGUCACAUUGAGUUACGAUAAUUACUAUAUUAAUUUACAAGAUUAUAGUAACUCCUUACUAAGUGGUUUACUACAACAUUACGGUAAAUAUCUCUAUGUGUUAUAGUAACCUAACUAUCGUUAAUAUGUAUACAUAUUAUCGUAAAUUAGUAUAUAAAAUUAUCGUAAAUGAAAGUGGCUACAGAAUAACAUAUUUUGUAGCUAGCUACAUAGUAUACUUUUCAUAUAUAUAUAUAUAUAUAUAUAAGGUCUUGUUUAAUUCAAAACAAGAAUAGUUUUGUUAUUGCAAAAAUAACAAAAAUAAGAAUAGUUUUUUUACAACAUCUCUAUGAGAAUAAUUGAGAGAAAAAAAAAGAAACUGUGCCCUAAGCAAAAUGGUUACAUAUAAUCAUCAAACGCAUCAGCAAGUACGCAAGUCCGUGUCCACCUCCAACACCGCAAACACAGCAAUUAGUGUAAGCUCUCCUGUCGCCCCACGCUUCCUUGUGCCAAUAAGGUCUUGUUUAAUUCAAAAAAAUUGAUAAAAUAAACACUAUAGCACUUUCGUUUGUAUUUGCUAAAUAUUAUCUAAUUAUAUAUUAAUCAGGUUUAAAAAAUUUGUUUUACAAACUACAGUUAAAUUAUAUAAUUAGUUAAUAUUUAUCAAAUAAAAAUAAAAAUACUACUGAAAACCAAUAAAUUUAGGAACUGAACAAGGCCAAGGCCUUAUAGUACGUAUUUGUUAUUAUUACACGUCUGAACUGCAACCAACUGACACGGAGACAUGGCCCACAUGUCAAUUGUACAGGCUCGCAUAGUACCAGGUAGUAGUGAGCUUAUUGGCGGCGUCUCAAAAUCAAGGCCUCGUUAGUUCUAUAAAGUGAAAAGUUUUUGGUACUGUAGCACUUUCGUUUGUUUGUGACAAAUAUAUUAUUCAAUUAUGGACUGACUAGGAUCAAAAGAUUCGUCUCGUGAUUUACAGCUAAACUGUGUAAUUAUUUUUUAUUUUUGUCUAUAUUUAAUAUUUUAUGUAUGUACCAUAAGAUUCGAUGUGACGGGAAAUCUUGAAAAUUUUGUGGUUUUCACGGUGAACUAAAUAAGGCCUAAUUAAUAAUGGUAGGUAGUAGUUUAUGCAGUAGGUCGGCAGUUUCUUUUGACAACGACAGGGACGACCUUGUGUACUCACAAAUGCAACAUUUGCAAAUACUGCCUACUUCACGGGAGGCCCUUCGAACACUGUGUAAUAACGAAUGCAGACACGUUGAUGACGAUGCUUGUUUGCUUGCUAAGGACACUGUACACAGAUAUACUAUACAAGCGGUUCGCAACCCCUUUGUAUAGGCGGAUUGACGAACCGCCAAUGGCUAUGGGCGGAUUGUCGAACCGCAAAUGUAUUUCUACAUGCGGUUCGGUUAUAUGAACCGCCUGUAGAAAUCAAUUUCUACAAGCGGUUCUCAUAAAUGAACCGUCUGUACAGAGUUAUUUUUACAGGCGAUUCUCAUAAACACACCGUCUGUGGUAAGAUUUUCCAAUUUAACCCAAUUUCCAAAUUUUUCUGCAAACCCUAUUUUUAAUAUUAUAUAUAAUAUAUAUAUAUAUUUAUAUAUAUAUAUAUAUUAUAUAAAUUAAUAUUGAAACUAUGUUCGGCUAGAGGAUUCAACCAAUGCAACAUGCAUUAUAUUUAUAUAUAUAUCAUUACUUUGUACAUAAAAUUAUAUUAAUUACAAACAUCACACCUCAAGUUUUUUUGUUUACAGACAUAUGAGGUUUCACAUCUGAAACCUCUGCUCUAAUAACCCGAUCGAGAUAGCUUUAGCCUACUAAUAUCUCUUAGCGCUCUAAACUCAGGCUCUGCUAGGAUGCUGGUCGGGUCGUGAUAUUUCCCUUCGGUGGGAAUGACUUCUCUCAAGAGGAAAGUGCAGAGGUCCUCAACUAUGUUGUAUAGAACACCUUGAGUCACACUCUUCGCCUUUUCCAACUCAUGUUGCUGCGGAGGAAGUUAGAAACAUCAUAAAUUUAUAGUUCAUAACACAUGCUUAGCAACAAAAAAUGACACAAUUAUAUAAACGACUAUUAGAGCAUUAUCUUAGAAGGGUUAGUUACAUAUCUUCCGGUCUCUCUCAUGAACUCACAGACAUAGAAUCCACAGUGGACCGAUUCGACUGGUUGCUUAUGGCACUGAAGUAUGACGAAAAAGUGGAUAUUUAUUAGUUGCAACAUCGUCCUAUGCAUAUUAUAUUUAUAAAAAACAAAGACAGCUUGUGAUAUUUUGGUACAUACCGGUCAUUUAUAAAAUAAUCUCAAUGGCUGCCUCGGUUCUGAUGAAGCGCACCUUCCACCUUUGAUCUUAUAAUACCUAUAGACCCUAUAGUAUCAAAUACACAAUCCUCAAGUUAUUUUGAAACUCUUAUAAAAGUUGGUAUGCAUAUUUAAUUUACUCAGCUUACCGUUCCAAGUGUGUAAUGAAUUUUGCAUAACUUAAAGGAUCAUAGUCUGCGGAGUCUAGGACUAGCACACGUCUAAGACUAGGAUUAAUGAGGAGGCAGAUCCAGUGGUCCCUGAGAGAAUCAAAUUUAUGAUGCAAGUGCCCAUUGAAAUUACUAAUACGACGAUGAAUACAAACUCACAGUUACCCAAAGUUGUAUGGGGCCACAACACAUUCUCGAUCUUGAUACUUGAGCAGUGCCAAGGCUAUGUAGAGGUCAUACUUACAUUCAUAAUCUAGUCGAUUUUCAUCUAUUAUCUUCUUACGCUCAGCGGGAUCCAAACUUUGUAAGGAGUCGUGUUUAUCUCCGAUUCUGAAGUUGUGCUGCUCCUCGCAAAGAUACUCAACCCUUUUACUGGCAGACCUAUCCGGAUCCGAACCGUACAGCAUCUCUUGUUGUUCAAAAUUCAUUCUGCAAGGAGCACUUGUAUGUUAGAUGUUGAAAAUUGAUGCAACUCAUGAAUAAUAACACAAGAUAGUACGAGUGACACUUACAAUGCAAACACGGUUACCAGCUGCACGUCUAGUCUCCAGAGGUUCAUCAUUAGCCACAUGUCCUCGAAGGUAACGAUUGCCUUUGUACGCUCACUGUUGAAUGCUUUUGGUGGUAUAGUCACAUUGAUCGUGUCAAUGCCUACAGAAGCUGCUCUCAUAUACCAGUCAUGCAUCCUUUUUAUACCAGCUGGGAUCUUUUUGAGUUUGUCCCAACUAAGUAGUGGUCUGCCUGGCUCAUAUUUAGUAGGGACAAAUUUGUAAUCAUCCUUCGUUGGUGGCCUGAUAUUGAUAAUAGGUGUUUCAAAGCUUUUUGGCGCCUCCUUCUCAUGCUCUGCCAAGUCAACAAGUUUUGAAGUGCGGCUCCUUGCAAUUCCGAACAAAAAUAGGGUCGUACCAGCGGCCUUCUUCUUUGGCUCGUACGGAGAAACCAAUUUGGGGACCGAGAAUUUUGUUUUCUUUGGUUGUGGUGGUGUCUUAUCGUCAUUUUUAGGUGCUGGUGGUGUGCAAGAUUGCGGUGUUGAUGAUGGUGGUGAAGCAUGAGGUUUAGGUGAUGGUGGUGAAGAAUGGGGUUUAGGUGAUGGUGGUGGAGUGGGUUUUGAUGGUGGCGAGGAUGGUGGUUGAGGCAUUAUUGGUGAUGGCGGUGGUGGGGAUUGUGGAUGCAAGAUCGGAGAGGUUGGUGGAGUGGGAAGAGAUGUGGGAUGGGACGACUCCUGAGUCUACGACACUUCUCAGGGUGAUGGUUCUGGUAGCUGAUACAGCAGGACGUCCCGUCGAGGCCAAAGAAUAAAAUUCUUGAUAGCUUGUCCCAGUUUCUCAAUGCCCUCGGGACCGGGAAUGUCUAGCAUAUCAUCCUCAUAUCCUUGGACAACUGUCAACACUUCCACCCUGCAGUAGUCCUCAGGGAUCUAACUACCAUGGAAUUGACGCCCUGGGAUCGCAAGUCCUGUGGCUACUUCCCUUGUACAGUUAUUGUUAAAACCAUACCUUAUGACUAGGGAGCAAGGCACAGGACUAUCGAUCUCAUCAACUAGGGAGCAAGGCGCAGGACUUGGGACAACUGGAGCUUGUUCUAUUGUUGUCGGGGCGACGACUAGCUGCAUUUGUGGAGGCUGCUGGCCACUUAAUUGGCUAGACAUUACGGUCGCCAAUUGCUGCAUCAACUCAGGAGGAGGAUUGGAGAGGAUUUUAGACAUCACCUCUUCGACUUCUCUCUUAGCCUCCUCCUUAAAAUAAUUAGACAUUUCUUCCUUGUAGAGAUCCCGUUUCCUAUACAUUGCUUCCCACUCUGGUCCAAAUCCUUCUUUCCAUCCUUCUUUGGAUGAGAUGCCUCGUACACGACCAGAAUGCUCUGGGUUACCUAGAGCAAUAGUAAGGACAUCUUUCUCCCUUUGAGGCUUCAAUUCACCCGCUCACUACUUAGCUGCCACUACAAAAAUAUUCUUCGCUGCCUCUUCGACCAUUGGGUCAGAAAAUGAUAAGCUAGACUUGGCUUCCUUUGACGGUACACGAGCAUAAACCCACCUCGAGCCCUUGCGACCAAGUUGGUCAGGGAGCGCUGGCAGACCCUUGGCCCUCUAUGCUUCAUCCUCUUGCUCCCAUUGGGCAAGCUUGCGCUGGUAACCACCUGUGCCUAGGUGGUGGUGGUACUUGUUCCUUUUUGCGAGCUCGGAUUUGGAUUCACUCAAAGCUUUGAACUCCUCGGUACUCCUCUGCUCUAGAAACACCGCCCACUGACCAGCAGAGAUUUUAUACCUCUUUGUCGGGUCCAACCCUUUCUUUGCCCACUUUGAAUUCAACUUGGACUUGUAAUUCCUAAACAUGAUUCCCCACUGCUUCAAUGUAUACUCCUUUACUAGGUCUUCUGAACCCUGAGGUAAAACAAACCUUAUAAGUAGCUUGUCCCACAUUCUUCUGAUUUCAUUUUGGUCCACUUUUGCCCACUCCCAAACUGUGAUGUCAAGAUGGUCCCUAACUAAGAAUCCAAGUGUGUUACACCACUUAGGUAAGGCCUUUGGAGGAGCUAGGGGUUGUCCUGUCGUGCUCACAUCUGUAAUUCUAAACGUUACUUUUGGUAACGGAUUCAAUCCUCUUUCACCUUGUUUCAUUUUUCUGUCGUCAGUCUUCUCGAUGGUUGUCUCCGUCGUCGGCUCGGGUGCACCUUCAUGUGUGAAUUCUUCCUGGGAUAGAAUCUGUUUCAGUUCAUUAAACCGAGAUAACACCUCCUGUUCAUGUUAAAAGUUAAACACAUAAAUCAUUAUUGUGUAUAUACUGAGGGACAUAAAAGUUAGAAAGAUUUAAUUAUGGAUGAGUAAUUCACCUCAUCUCCUUCUGGAAUGUAAUCGAGGUCACGUUCUAAUUCCCGACGAGUGUUUCUCUCUAUACGAGGAUCUGGAAUAUCGCUAGGGGAGGUCUCAUACGAAGGACUUGAUUCACGUUCUUCUGCAUGCUCUGUAUGGUCGGACCGUUGUGCUUGCUCAGUGUUGUGUGACCCUUGCACCUUCUCUGGGUGGUCCGAAUCUUUUUCCAGUGCUUGAUCAAUGCGGUCGGACCCUGACGCUUGGUUUGGGGUUAAAGAAGUCAUCGCGAUAAUCUAUAUAAAUAAUUACUUAGCAUAUGCAUAUACAUAGACACUUAAACUAAUUGUCUAUUAUUUUUAUACAUAUAUAUAUAUUUGCAUUAUAAAAAAGAAAUACUAAUUACUUAGCAUAUGCAUAAUGUAUAUAAUAGAUACUUAAACUAAAAGUAAAUAUUAAUUGUUUAUUAUUUUUAUACAUAUAUAUAUAUAUAUAAAUAAUUGCAUUGUAAAUAAUUACAUUAUAAAAAAGAAAUAAUAAUUACUUAGCAUAUGCAUAAUGUAUAUACAUAGACACUUAAACUAAAAGUAAAUAUUAAUUAUUUUAUUAUUUUUAUAUAUAUGUAUAUAAAUAACUGUAUUACAAAAAAUAAUCAACACAUAUAUAUACAUCAUAUACAUUUAUUUAGGACAGUUAAUACAUCAUAUACAUUCAUAUAAAAAAAUCUUGGGCCGCUGGUGGGCCGGCCCAACUGCCCAGGCGGCCCAGCUGCCCCUCCCCCUCGCCCCUCUCAGCACCGACCGCAAGCGCCGCGCCGCCACCACCGCUGCUGCGCGCCGCCUGGCCCCCCACGCACCGCCACUGCUGCUGCAGCCGCGAGGCUCCCCUGCGUGGAGCUGCAGCCGCAGCCGUAGCACCAUCCCCGACGACGGGCGCCCAGCCGCCUCUGGCCGUGACGCCGGCCAAGCACCGCCGUCGCCUGCCGCUGUGCCGCCGCGCCGGUCCCUCCAAACAGCAGGUAGACGGCGGCGCUGCAUACAUCCAAAGAGCCAGAGACUGGAGCGGCGCUGCUUACCUCCAAUCCGGUCAGUGCGGGUGAGGGCGAGAAGCCGGAGCGACGCGGAGAGGAAGACGACGGCACAGAGAGGAAGACCGAAGCUCGGCGUCGAGAAGCGCGGCAGCGGCGCGCGUGACUGGUGGUGGAGUGGAUGGAGAAGGGCGGUGCGGUGGCGAGACCUCGACGGAAAAUUUUGGGAGCCUGCCGACAUGGAUUCGAAUGAAAUGGCACCUUUAGACUUAGAAAAUUUCAGGAGGUAGGGCGCGGUCUUUAUAUGGCAGACAUUUCUACAUACGGUUGAGAACUGCAUGUAGAAAUGCUUUCUACAGGCGAUUCUCAAUACCAACCGCCUGUAGAAAAUGAUUUCUACUGGCGGUUAGCAUUGACCACCGCCUGUAUAAAUAUCUCUAUACCGGCGGUGGUCAAUCCCACCCGCGUGUAGAAAGAUUUUGUAAAUUUUUUAUUAUUAUUGUUUUCUAUAUUUUUGGUAACUAUUUUUUAUUACAUAUUGAUAUUAUUAUAUAAUAAUAUUUUAACAUAAUUAUUUCUAUAUUCUAUAUUUGUAACAUAAUUAUAUUGUUUAUAUAUUAUUUGUAUAAUGAUAUUAUAAUAUAAUUAUAUUGUUUCACACCUAUAUAUUAUUUUUAUAUUCUUUAAAUUUCUAAUGCAUAUUGCAUAUUGUACGAAAGGUAGAGCUUGAUGAGCUCUAACUCCUCUGUAUUCAAAACUUUUUCAUUUGAGGUUAUUUAGUGCCUAGUUUGACCUAGUUUGACAAAGUCAAAUUUUGAAAUUUCACAUUUCCACAGCUACACACACGUUUUCGAAACCCGAGACGUCCCCAACUCGAAAAGUCAUGAAUACAAAGUUUGUUCCACUCAUCAAGAUAUACAUUUUAUACAUAGGACAUUUUUGUAUUUGAUAAAGCAUUACAAAAGUGUAGUUCUAAAUCCACAAGUCUCACAUAUAGUUUCAUAAAGUUUGUGUGAGAUUCAAGACUUUGUGACUAGAGUUUAGCAAUCCUUUCCCAAAUGCCAAAAUACCCUAUGAAUGGAAUGUGUAUCUUGAGGAGUUCUAACACCCAUGUAUUCAAAAGUUUUUCAUUUGAGGUCAUUUAUUGCCUAGUUUGACCUAGUUUGACCGAGUCAAAUCUUGGAUUUUUCUAAAAAGUCACUUUGACCGGACCCUUGGUAGUCUCAGAUACAAAAGUCAUGAAUACAAAGUUUGUCCAGCUCAUCAAGAUACACAUUGUGUGUAAUGGUCAACUUUUCAUCUAGGAGAGUUUGGACCACUCAAAUUUUAAAAUUUUAGAUUUCCACAGCUACACACACGUUUUUGAAACCCAAGACGUCCCCAACUCGAAAAGUCAUGAAUACAAAGUUUGUUCCACUCAUCAAUAUAUACAUUUCAUAUAUAGGACAUUUUUGCAUUUGACAAAGCGUUACAAAAGUGUAGUUCUAAAUCCACACGUCUCAUAUAUAGUUUCAUAAAGUUUGUGUGAGAUUCAAAACUUUGUGACUAGAGUUUACCAAUCCUUUCCCAAAUGCCAAAAUAUCCUAUGUAUGGAAUGUGUAUCUUGAGGAGCUCUAACACCCAUGUAUUCAAAAGUUUUUCAUUUGAGGUCAUUUAGUGCCUAGUUUAACCAAGUCAAAUCUUGGAUUUUUCUGGAAAGUUACUUUGACCAGACCCUUGGUAGUCUCAGAUACAAAAGUCAUGAAUACAAAGUUUGUCCAGCUCAUCAAGAUACACAUUAUGUGUAAUGGUCAACUUUUCAUCUGAGAGAGUUUGGACCACUCAAACUUUGAAUUUUCAAAUUUCCACAGCUACACACAUGUUUUAGAAACCCGAGACAUCCCCAACUUGAAAAGUCAUGAAUACAAAGUUUGUUCCACUCAUCAAGAUAUACAUUUCAUACAUAGGAUAUUUUUGCAUUUGACAAAGCGUUACAAAAGUGUAGUUCUAAAUCCACAGAUCUCACAUAUAGUUUCAUAAAGUUUGUGUGAGAUUCACAUACAUUUCAUACAUAGGACAUUUGACCAAAGUUUACAUGAUGAAUCAUCGAUACAAUCUAGGCCGCUACUAUUCUUCCUUGUCCAUCAGGGCGCACCCAUGACAAAGAACUCUAUGGGAUGCUUCGCUCAAUAUUUUUUAUCUUCACAGGAUGGUCCACAAAGAGGGACAUAUCACUGAACUGGUUAAAAUCCUCCAGAUCCGAUACACCAUCAACUCCAACUGCUUGUUGCUUUCCUGGAAAAACUACAUGCUUUGGUUUGUCGGUACUUUUCUUCUCAUUCUUAGAAAGGAUUUGUUCAACAUAGAAAACCUGUGCAGCACGAUUAGCAAGGAUCCACAGGUCAUCUUUAUAUCCCACCUUACUUAGAUCAAGAACUCUGACCCCAUAAUUAUCCACUAUGACAUGUUUAUCUUCAACCCAUUGACAUCGAAACACAGGGAUCUGAAAUGUACCAUAGUCUAGUUCCCAUAUGUCCUCGAUGAAGCCAAAGUAUGUAAUAAUAUCACCAGUUUUGUCGUCUAUGGCCUCGCAUCGAACACCACUAUUUUGUGUCAUGCUCUUUUGGUCCUUGGACUUGGUAUGAAAUGUGAAUCCACUUAUGUCAUAGGUUUGCCCUGUUAUGACUUGGCGUGAUGGUCCAGAUGCCAAAGCCUUGAUGGUUUGUUUCUCAAUUGUUUCCCCAUAUGGAAUGUCCUGCUCCCUUAGCCAUGUGUACAACUGUUUCUUGUGUUCCUUCAUUACCCAAUCCUCUGUUUACCUAGGAUUAUGUUCUCGAAGCUCAUUCAUGUGUUGUUCAAUCAAAUGCUCCAUUAUCGAGAGCUAAUGUAAGAUGUUGUGAUGUGCCGCAAGUAUUGUAUUGUAAUAUGGUGGGAUGAAUGAUUUCCGUCCAAUCCUCCCACAUCCAUGUAGCCUACCCUCAUAUCUUGACGGAGGCAAACCUAUUACAACCUGGUCUUUUAGGACAUUAUUGCAGAAUGGUCCUCUGGACUCAAUCGCCUCUUCGGUACAAUACCCUUCUAUCAUGGACGCCUCGGGACGAGCAUGAGUUGAUACAUAGCCAUUUAGUAUUGACAUAAAAUGCUUGUACGUCCACAUUUCAUGUAGGUACAUGGGACCUAGUGCCUGUAUUUGUGGAACCAAGUGCACCACAAGGUGCACCAUGAUAUCAAAUAAUGAUGGGGGGAAACACAUCUCAAACUGUGACACUGUUUCCACUAUGAAUUCCUGAAGGGAUUCUAACUCAUCACGAUCAAUUACCUUUUGUGUUAUCUUGUUGAAAAAGUAGCACAAUCGUGUUACUGCCAUCUUUAAGAAUACUGGAUUUAUUGCCAUUAUUGCAAUAGGGAGGAAAGUAGUCAGCAUGACAUGACAAUCAUGUGAGUUGUAGUUGGUGAGUGCUAGGUCUUUCAUUGACACAAAACUCCGUAUGCUAGAGCAGAAUCCUGAUGGGACUUUCAAUUUCUUCAACCACUCACACAUCGCAUGUUUCUCAUCUAUGUUGAGGUUGUAGCUUGCUACUGGGAGAUGGUACUUCCCAUUUUCUCGAAGAACAGGAUGAAGCUCUUUUUUUAUGCCUAACUGCACCAUGUCAAAUCGUGAAUUGAGUCCUUCCUUUGUCUUGGUCUUGAUGUCUAGCAAUGUGCCAAUUAGACUUUCAAACACAUUCUUCUGGACGUGCAUACCAUCGAUCACGUGUCGUACAUCCAAAUCUUUCCAGUAUGGCAAAUACUCGAAGAAAAUGGACUUUAAUGAGGUUGGUGUAUGCCAAGUGAUGGAGCGAGUGAUGAUCAUGGUGAUGAUGGUGAUGACUACAAGAUGAUCAAGUGCUCAACUUGAAAAAGAAGAAAGAGAAAAACAAAACCCUAUGGAUAUUGUUGGUAUAAAUUAACUUCACCCUAAUAAUGAUUACAUUUAGAUUAUCCGCAAGCGCACAGAUAUAUACUGAUUACCACUUCACCAAGAUUAACCCAUUUUUAAUAUCGAACCCAAAGGAAUAGUAGGUGAUUUAUGACUUAGCCUAUAAUUUCUUAAUCUAAGGGGACACAAACAAUCUAGAAACUAUUGAUGAUAAGGAAAUACUAAUGUACUCUGGUUCCAAUAACCGGUAAACUUUGUAUAGUAUUGUCUUAUGGGGCAAGUAACCCAAAUAAGGGAAGAAUCAGAGUAAUCCCCUACCAGGCACCUAUAAGCCUAUUAAUCCUACCAAUGGGAAGUGGACUACAGAGGAAUCAACGAAGCUAUAAAGUCACCUACGUGAACUACUGUUGACAUUCGUUAAGUGCAAUAAGAAUAAGAAAAAUUCCGCAAGCGCACAAAACAUCAUCGUAGCAUUUUACCGGGAGUAUUCCAGGUAUCGUUAUUUAUAUUUUACCACUGGGAAGCUAAGGUCAAAGAAUCUGAUAACUUACUAUCAUGCAUCUACUAAUUUAAUAAACCAACUAGACUAAAGUAGGGGUAAAUGAUAUAUGAUAGGUAAUAAUAUAAAGGUGAAAAUUCUAUGAUAAAUGUGUAGAUAGCCAUAACGGGAGGACAACGGGAGAGACCUAGGUUCCUGUAUACUUCUCUAUUACUUCAGUUCUAUGAUAACAAAGAAUGAAUAGAUAUAGCAAUCACAUAUUAGCACUUUGAGACAUCAGAACACCAACCACAGAAAGAGAACUGGAAGGGGGCUGGGAAGCUCUGACUACGGUCCUACAAACACCGAUCCGAACGAGGUAGAAUACGUCGACCGUUAGGGAUGUCACUACCCUAGGGCUACCACAACAAUCCGCAAGACUGGGUGCAACCUCAGGUAACCUCUAGUAUAGACACCACGUCUACACUAACGAUUACUACUCUAAUUACCAUGAAUAACUAGAGCACUCGAUGCGAAUGAAGAUCCUAUGCCAAAAUAUAACAACUACACUACUCGAUAAUAAUAAAGGCAUAAAAGUAAAUAGAGAAGAUAAAUAUAUUAAAGCAUAAGUCUUACAAUAAAUAUAAAGACAUAACAAAACUCUGAAGACUUCUCCAGAACCGAAGCGCAGCUCCGCUCUCCUAAAUCCCGACUAGGACUAAUCUACUACAUUAGAAUGUCUAGCCCUCAUUCUCUAUAGAGGAAAGGUUAUCCUUCGAGGGCACCUCUCAACUCUAUAAUGAUGUGUUCUCCUCCAGGGGCCAGAGGCCUUGCUUAUAUAGCCUCCUCCUUUGUGCUUUUUUGGUUCAGCAAGCGAUGUGGUACUAAACUUUCCACCAUAUCUCAUUAAAAUGCACAUAGGUCUUAAUGGACCAAAAUCUGAUUUGGGCCCAAUUAAUCCCGCAGCUCUUUUAUGUGGAGUCCUUCUUUUAUUAAUAUCUCUUGAUUCUGAACUCCAAAUAAAGCAAAUAAUAUAUGCAUUUCGAUCAGCUCGACGAGAUCUUUGUAAUGGUGUACUUCAUUCUGUGAUUGAUGCUUGUACCAGGGCGGGCGCCCAAGGAACAAGGGUGGGCGCCCCGGCCCUAGGCCUGUCGCGGCUCCGCUUCGGUCGAGUUGCUUCUAGAGUCUUCCUGAUUAUGGAAAAUUACCGCACACAUUAAUUCUCUAUGUAAACCUGAUGUGUGGGCCUUUCCUUCAUAUUUCCUGAUAACCCCCUGCAGAAAUAGACAAACACCAAAACUCGUGGAAAUCUGUCAGAUGAAACCCUAAGUCUAGGUGUCGGUUGCAUUUGGAUCCUUUUUCAUGAUUAGUUGACGGUUAAAUGUGAGCAUUAAGGACCGUCAACAAGCUCUCCCAAGCAUAACCUAUGCUCGUCCCUGAGCAAAGAUGGACUCAAGAGUUUCUGCAGUGGUUUCUUGCCUUAAAGGUACACAUGCGUUCAAACAAGAUCUCAUCUCUGGGUUAGGGUAAACUGUUAAGAUUUAAACUUACUCAUUUUACCUUCCAUCAUGGGGCUUGCAACCGUCACUUGUGUCUUGAGUAGUUAAAAGAUAGAACGGUCUAGUCAAGCGCCAUGUCUCUUGUUCUUCGAUUAACUAUAGCUCUGGAGUUUUUACAGAUUUUCAAAUAAAACUCAGAGAUUCCUUGUAUGACUCUCUCUAGUCUCUCUUUUGUGGUAUUUCUGGAUCCUUACCAAGGCAGUAAUGGUGUAUGCCUUCUCUCAAAGUAUGUGGUAUUUUUGGUAUGAGGCAUAGUUGUAGUGCCUUCUCUCUCACCCUACUCUAAUAAGGUUUUGAUAUCUGGAGCUCAUAGGUGGGAGACAGCUAAUACAUACUUACAAGACACUUAUUGCAGAGUCAAAUCAUGGAUCCAGAAGAACAAGUCAAUAAGUCAAAUCAAGAUGUGCAUGUGUGGCGAAUGAAUGGUGAUAAUGGUGAAAAUAAUGGUGAAAGUCUAAUUCUACUUUUGCUCUUUUGAGGAGGUACAUACCUUUCUUGCACUUGAGGCUUUUGAGGGGAAUGAGACGCUCUAUAUUUUAUUUUUCUUUUCUCUCAGGUGGAUCUUGUACCCCUAAUUCUACUGUCGGACACUUGUCCAUUUUUACCUCUCGUCUCACUUUUCUCUUUUUUUCUUCUUCUUUUUUUUCUUUUUUGAGGUUUCGGGCACUUGCCCCUUUUUGUUUCCUCGUAUUCACUUUUUUUUAGAGCACUCACCCUCCUAGAAUAAUGUAGCAAGUGGUAGUAACCAAAAUAUCUCGACCAUUUAUUUCACGGGGAAUAACAGGGAUAGGAUAAUGUUUUUGGCUAUUCUCUCCUAGAUAGGAGUAGAAUAAUUUUGGGUGAAUCUGGAUAUGGAAAUGAGUGGAUGUAUGUGGAUGCGUACUUCUGGAGUAGAAGCAGCAUGUAUGAGUGAACGUGCAAGUGAAUCUUGAUUUUAACCGCAUGACAAGCUCCUAAGGGUCUACACAGCUUGACCACACUCAAUGCUCAUAAGCAGUAAAAAGUAAAUGUAUGGUUCAUAGUCUAAUAAGCAUGUAUAUAUAGUUGUGGUAGGAUUUUAAACUCUCAUCAUACAGGAACUCAUCAUGCAACAUUUUAAAUAAUUUCAAAGAUAAAAUUCUCCAGAAUUCUAGCAUCUCUAGGAACAGAUAACAGUAGCUCAGCCUUCUCAUAUCAUAUCUGUUAACGACUUAGACUUUUGAUCAGGUACUCUUCCCGCAAAUUCAGGUUUAGAGCAAGCUUUAAAUUAUAAUAGUUAUGCCUAAACUUGAGAGAGAGCUCAAAUUUGAAAACUAGAAAACUAGGUACUUGGUAGAGCAACUAUUCAUCAUAUCCAUAUAAGAGUUUAUCAUUGAAGUUCAGUUUGGCAUAGACACUUUAUUUAUUUAUUUAGCAAACUAAGCAAAGAUAUAUAUAAGCACAAAAUGUUUAAUUGGGUUUUUGUGAUUACGUAUUUUUUUAUUAUUUGAGUAAGGUAUAAAUGUGAGUAGAAACACUUAGCUAGAUAAAUGGGGGUGCUCUCCCCCAAGCUAGAUUUUAACGUAAUUUCUUCUGAUGUAGCUAGCAGGUGGCAUAGGUGUAUUUGAAUGUUGGCAGCACCCUGAUAGCGAUUAGGAUAUCCUCCGUCUGCUAGUCUUCCUUGAUCCUUGAAUUCUGUGGAGCUCAAAUAGAUAACAAAGCUUUGUGGAACUGGUUAAGUGUUAGCAUAAAAUCUCUUAGCCUUUAUCAUGUUGAGCUUCCUCUAAUAAAUAUUACUCUCUUUAGUAGGAUCAUAAAUUUAUUUUGAUAUUUACAUUUUUACAGGACAAGAAUAUAUUUAUUUUAUUUUUACGCCACCACAGUGAAUGGGUUCUAUGCCACGAGCAUACUCACAUGGGGCUUACUGUUUUUAACAUUUUUAUUUUCUUUUCAAGAUAGCAUCAUUAACUAACAAGCUAUUUAAGGAAAGUAAAUAAUUUAAGAAAAAAGAAAUGCAGAAAGGAUAAAUAUGGAUAACUACCGAUUUUACCUUUCGGCGAGGGUUCAAUGUUUUAAGUCUUCUGAACAAGACUUGUCACCGUGUUUAUUCUUUAUGUGUGUCAUUUGAGUUAGGUGUAGACCUUGACAUCUGCACCUCUUGAUACGGUGUCACCCAUGUUUUUUGUUUGCCCAGCAGUUCGAAGUGCGGCGUUGGCAGCAUCCUACCUCUGUGUGUUUGUGCUCGUAGAUCCACAUCCUUCACUUGGUAGAGUCUGGGAGUUGGAAAACUCCUCCAUGUUUUGCUCGAAGUGUAUCCUGCUCAUUGAGACAAGGCAGAGAUCAAGUGCAUGGGCCCUGUUGGUGGAAAACACCAACAGAACCAAAAGUGUAUUUGUUCUUCUCUAACCUUAAGCAUAGUGAGCAAGACAAAAUUGAUGGAUGAUAAGAUCAUGAGUGUAGCAUUUGAAAUAUUUGUCAGAUCAGAUCACUCAACCUUAUGGAAAGAUAAUCUAUCUAAGUAAAUGUUUUUUCUUUACUUGACUAUCAUUUUCCAAAGAUUGGAUGUGCAACAUUUUAGCUCAUAUGGUUAAGAGUGUGGGAUCAAGAAGGUAGUACCGGAAACAAAGAUUAAAGGACUAAACAUGUUGAAUCAAUUGAGUUGGUUAAUUUGGAGUUAUAAAUCAUACAUGUUUGUCUUUUUAUCCAUGUGCAUGCCAGAAUCAAGGAGA